GAUGGUAGAGAUUGAAAGACUCGGGACAUGUUAGUGGCUACAAUGGAGUUACGGAAGAAGUUAUUUUGCUAUUUUGUUUUUCUUUUGUUUUGUUUCCUUUUUUUUUUUGGGUUUUCUCAAAGGUCUUUUUUUUAUCUUCAAAAGUCAUAUGGCAUUUUUUAGUUCGUCCAUUUUGCCACACUGUUGUGCAUGCAGCUCACGUGGCUGAAUUUACUUAGGCAUUUUACAUGAGGCAUUUAAUAUGUUUACAUUAUUGGAGUUAGAGUAUUCAAUAGGUGCUAACCUAAGUUUAAGGUGUUAAAAUAAAAACUGAAGCCAAGUUUAAGUGGUUGUCUAGGUAUUUAGCCUUUACUAUACCUUGCUCUUUAGGGUCUAUUAAUUAUAAGUCUUUAUGUGAUUCUGGUACAUUAAUUAAUCUAAUGCCUUUGCUAUUUAUAGGAAGCUGGAGAAUGAGAUUGAAGAGAUAAGGUUUGCACCAAUAUCUUUGCAGCUAGUAGACCAAACGACUAUAACACCCGAGGGGAUAGUGGAAGAUAUCUUAGUGCGGGUGGAUGAGUUCGUAUUUACUGUAGAUUUUAUAGUGGUAAAAAUGGAGGAGAACAAGGAGGCCCCCUCAUCUUAGGAAGACCAUUCUUAGCAAUGGGUAGAGCUAUAUUAGAUAUACAUGAAAGAAAACUCAUUUUUAGAGUGAGUGAGGAGAAAAUGACUUUCAAGAUAGAUGUAGAAAUGGGGGUGAAAAAGGAGAAUCCAAUUGCAAGUGUUGAGUGGAAGGUGAAGGGCAUGAAAGAGAAGGCAACAUUGAGUGAAAAACAAAAGUGUGGGGUGUACCCCAAGAAGUUGAGAAGAAGUUGUCCGCAUGGAUGUGUGCACGAGUUCGGGCGUGAAGAAUAGAUCCCGACUUUGAUUCAGAUCCUGACAAAAUAUUCAGGGAAGUUUUCGCUACCAUAUACUUUUUAAUUGUGUGUCAUGGGGAUAUACCACAACUUAAAAUGUGGGGUGGGGGAUAGUUGUAUGUUGUAUGUAUAUUAGUUAGUUUUGCUUUUGUUAGUGUUAGUAGUUAGAUAUAGAAAACAAAUGAAAAAAUAUAAAAAAAUUGACUUUUUCCGAUGAUGGAUAUCAUAACGACAGGUUUCUUGAGGGAUUAAAGUCGAAGGAAAAAGAACAUAAAGAUUUUCUUUUGUUAGGUAGUGUAUUAUUUUCCCUUGGUUUUUUUGGGUCGUGGUUUUUUUUCCAAGGUUUUUGUUUAAACUGAGUGUAGUUAGUUUUUAUAUUUGUUAGGAGUAGGGAACCUUGUGCUAUGAUUUGAAUUGAAGCAAUAUCUCUUGACUUUGUUAUACCUUGAGAAUAGUGAGUACUUUAGUUGUGACGCUUAGGCUCAGUUUUUGACUCUUGUAUAAGUACCUUAAAUUGUAUGAUCUUAACUUUGUUUAACUUCUUUGACUAGAGUGUCUUGAUGAGUCCAAUCCUGAGUGAGUUAUGUGCCAUGUGUAUGUGAGGUUUUGUGUUAUAUGCAUUGCAUUUGAUGUCUAAAACUUGCCCUGUGUGUUUGCAAAGUAAAAUAGUAGUUUUAUUUAGUCUUAAAAGUGAUAUAGGCAUCUCUUGUGAGCCAGAUAUAUGUUUUACCCACCUAAUUGUGAAGUAUCUAAGUUAACCUCUUUGAGCAUGUAAUCAUGUUUUCUUUGGCAACCACAUUUCAAGCAUUACCCAUUUGUUUGAAUUUACUAUUAAUUUGAACUUUGUACCUUUCGUGAGCACUUGAAUUUAUAGUUGAAGUGUGGGGUGGUUGAUUUGGAUUUUGUAAAAGUUGAAGGUGCAAUAUUUUAAAAAAGUAAGAGCCACUUGAAUUAAAUAAGAAAAGAGAAAUAUAGUUGUAUUGAUGUGCAUAUAUUCGUUGAUAGUGGUAAAUCUUGAUGUAAUUAUGCUUAUAGAAGUAGGAAGUUAAUGUAUAUUGAUGUGAAGGUGGAGUUAUGAUUUGACAUAAGUGUGGGGUUUUGAAAGGUAAACUGUAUGUAUUAAAGUGCUUAGGGAGGUGUAGUCACUCUUAUAUCUAAAUGUAUCCUACCCGUCUCGCAGCCUACAUUACAACCACUAAAGUCCUAAUUGAACCUUGACUGAAUAAGCUCAAUUAGUAGAGUAGUACAGUACAUUACGGGCAAGCUUAUGAUGCAUCUUUUGUGGCAUAUGAAUGUUGUUUCUGAUAGUGAGCGAAUUCUUUCUCUCUUGAGUUCCUAAUUGUUCUUAAACCUUAUUAUGUUUGGAACUACUCUCUAUUGUUGUGUGAUGGCACUUGAUUCAUGAAGGAAAGGUAAUAUCAUUGACAUUUAUGUUAGAGUAAGUGAGUAAGUUAUAAAUAAUGUGUGGCACUUGUGAGUCAAAUCUUAAGGCGAGGAUGUUACACUAUUGUGCUUAGUCUAUUUUAAAUAUUCUUGGUAUAAUGAGUUAGGAGAGUUGUUGAAAAAAGGUCGUGUCUUGAUAAAGUGUAAUUUGAUUGCUCGAGGACGAGCAAUGAUUUAAGUGUGGGGUGUUGAUGGUAGGCUAUAAUCUCAUAUUUUAGUCGCUUAUUGCACUCUAAUUCACUGUACUUUUAUUGUGCUUGAGCUUUAAUCACUAGUAUUUUGUACUAAUUGUGUGUUUUAUGCCUUGUAGGGGUGAUUCCGAGUGAUGUAGAUGUUAUGGAGCUAAUUUGAGCUAGUUGGAGCUUUAAAGUCUGAGUAAAGUCCCAAAGGACUAUGCAAGGAUCGCGCUCAGGGGUCGAAAACCAUGUCUGGACUUCAAAAAUCAAGCAAAAAAAUAGGCUCUAAGAAAUCUGCACACGCACUGCGGCUGUCCAUUUUUGCUGCCUUGACAAAUUGCUAGCUCCCUGAUAAAUUCCAUUGCUGCCCCACCUGGCGCGUCACCCCAUGCGGCCCUACUUGGUAUAAAUUCAAGGUAAAACAUUAUUUUUGUGACUUUUGACACAUAUUUGACCUAAGGAAGCUAAGGAGGAGUUGGAGGAGCAAAAGCACAAGGAAUUCAUCAUUCAAUCCUCACUCAAGACACGAGUUUUGAACGUUUUAUAUUUUCCUAUACUUUAACAUAUUUGUGAUGAAUUACUCCAUGUCUAUGGAGUAGUUUACUUUAGGGUUUGCUGGAUUUGGUGUAUUGAUGAUUCUUUGUGGAUUAUAACUCUAGUUUUAUUAUUGAAGAGUCAUUGGAUGAUUUAAUUGUUGCAUCUAUACUCACAUGUUCAUGUAAUCGAGAGAGGUAUAACUUGUGAUAUAUUUAGCAACAAUUGGUAGUACUUAGAAUUAUAUGGCUAACAUAUAGGAUUUCGGUACCUAGUAUGUCCUAAAACUAAUAGGAUUACAUUGGUAACGACGUCCAAAAAAGGUAACUAGAUAAGAAUAUCAAAGGAGAUAUUGUUCCAAAAAUGAUGAGGAUAUUGACUGCAAAUAUACCUUCGGUGAAAUUAUACUUAUGCAUCAAAUAUAAACAAUCUCCAAUUCAAGUCAAUAUCUCCUUUGACUUGGAACUUUGACAAGUCAAAGGAGAUAUUGUUCCAAAAAUACGUUCAAAUGGCAUCAUUUUUGGAACAAUAUCUCCUUUGAUAUCCUUCCUAAAGAGGCUUUUAUAACAUGCCUUAGACAGUAAAUUUAUCCUCAUUAUCAACCUUCGACAAUAAUGAAUCAGCCACCUGAUCAUCAAGAGAGACAGGUUCCAACAUUUAUGCAAUCAAUCUCCCGGUUUUUGCUCUUUAUUUAUUAGAACUACAAAAUAUAAAUAUACUGAAAAUUACUUUCAUACAAAUUUAAAAGGAUAUUCUUUAGUUCCGUAAUAAACACAUACUUAAAAGCACAUUGAUAGUAUCAUAAGUUCUACUAAUUAAAUAAAAAGAGGAACAAAUUAAAUUUAUUAAGAAAUAAUAUAGAAGAAGAAAGGAUCAUUUUUUACAGACAAGAAAUCGUUCAAUGUUUGACCUAUUCUUGCUCUCAUAUUCUUUUUGUUUGCUGAAUCUUUUUCAUUUGAUGCUAUAAAUAUAAUUCACUGAAUGUAUAUUUGCAGUCAAUAUCCUCAUCAUUUUUGGAACAAUAUCUCCUUUGAUAUCCUUACCUAGUUACCUUUUUUUAGACGUCGUUACCAAUAUAAUUCUAUUAAUUUUAGGACAUACUAGGUACCGAAAUCCUAGAUGUUAGCCAUGUAAUUCUAAGUACUACCAAUAGUUCCAAAAUGACAAAAGGAGACACUGUAAAAGCUAGCUUGCCAAGUUAUACUUCUGGCUCAAAUGAAAAAGAUUCAACUAACAAGAAAUAUAAAAUAAGAACAAAUCCAGUAUUUAGUGUCUUCUUGCUUUGUGUCGGAAAUGGAGAAGAGCAUCCAAUAAAAGAUGAUUUGGUUCUUUCUGAAUAUUUGGUUAUCAAUCCCAAUAAUGAUAGUAGUGCAUUUAAUAAGAGAAAUAUUUCUUACAUAUAUUAGUGUCAUCGUUUAUAUAAUACACUAAAUUUAAAUUAAUCUUCUAUUGUAUAUAGGUUGAUUUUGAAGAAAAAUAUGCCUGUCAUGCUGCUGAAAAAUUUAGAUACGCCGAAUAGCUUAUGUAAUAGCACACAGAUGGUAUAUAGAAGUUUUUGACAAUAACAUCAUACAUGCAAAAAUAAUGAUACUGGUCAAUGUGCUUCUAAGUAUAUUCUUAUCCCUGAAUUCAACUUUGGUCUUCCGAACUAAGGAAUAUCUUUUUGAAUUUGUGUGAAAAAAAUGUUUAGUAUGUUUUCUUAUCACGCCGUUAAUGUUAAAGCACGAAGGGUUACUAAUAUUAACAACAACAACAACCUAGUAAAAUCCCACUAGUGGAGUUUGGGGAGGGUAGUGUGUAUGCAGACCUUACCCCUACCCCGAAGGAGUAGAGAGGUUGUUUCCGAAAUACCCUCGGCUCAAGAAAACAAAAGGACAAAAUGAGAGAAUAUUAGUUUCACCACAGAAAUCAUAGGAAAAAUAGGAACAACAUGAAAUCCAGAAGAAGGAUGCAAAGCAAAGGUGAUGGCUAGUAAAUAGGUCCUAUAUUGAAAAGUGAAAUAGUACGACACAACAUUGCCACUAGCUAUAUUAGACAAAAAACGUACCAGACUAGGCUCACAAAGGUACAAAGUAAGGCAAGACUCAACUACCUCCUAACCUACAACCCUAAUACUCGACCUCCACAUAUUCCUAUCAAGUGUCAUGUCCUCGAAAAUAUGAAGCCUCGCCAUAUCCCGCCUGAUCACCUCUCCCCAAUACUUCUUAGGCCGCCCUAUACCUCUUCCACAACCAGCUGCUCACACCUCCUUACCAGAGCAUCUAGGCUUCCCUCUGAACAUGCCUGAACCAUCUGAACCCCGCUUCCGGCAUCUUGUCAUCAAUGGGAGCCACGUGCACCUUCUCUCGAAUAUCAUCAUUCCUAAUCUUAUUCAUCCUAGUGUGCCUGCACAUCCGCCUCAAUAUCCUUAUUUCAUCUACUUUUAUCUUUUGGAUAUGUAAGUUCUUAAAAGGCCAACAAUCAGUCCCAUACAUCAUUGCUUGAAACCCUUAGACUUAAGAGCAUGUCUCCAAACUUUCAGUCUCUCGUUAACACCGGCUCGCAAUUCAUCAAUUAGAACUAUGUCAUCGACGAAUAGCAUGCACCAUGGCACUUCCCAUUGAAUAUGGUUUGUCAACACAUCCAUCACCAGGGAGAAUAAGAACGGACUGAGCGCAGAACCUUGGUGUAACCUCAUUUCAACCAGAAAAUGCUCAGAGUUGCCUCCUACUUUCCUAACUCGAGUCUUAGCCUCAUCAUACAUGUCCUUAAUCGCCAUAAUAUGGGGAACCGGCACACCUUUUACCUCCAAGCAUCUCCAGAGAACAUCUCUAGGAACCUUGUCAUACGCUUUUUCUAGGUCAAUAAACACCAUGUGCAGAUCCUUCUUCCUCUCUCUGUACAGUUCCACCAACCUCCUAACAAGGUGUAUAACUUAUGUAGUAGAACGACCCGGCAUGAACCCGAACUGGUUGUCGGAUACAGAUGUUGAUUUUCACGUUCCUUGGUGAAUGCAAAAUAUCUUUUUUUUUAUGUAUGUCGGCAAAAGAUGAUAUCAACAACUACUACCAGAAAGAAUAUUGUAUAAAUACCAAAUGGCCUUCCACUACACAAAUUCAUUAUCAAGUUUAUUAUCUCUUUUGUAUAUUAGUAUCAUGUAUGUAUGAAACAGACACCAAAAAUAUUUCCCCGCCAAUAGUCAAAUUUGUAAUGGGUUAGGUUCUAACUCUCUAAAUGCUUAAAGAGUUCCUAUUUAAUUAGGAAUCAUUACAGAUUUAAUUUGUAUAGAUUUCACCUCAUUCCUUCUUCCUCUUCCACUCAGCCAUAGUUAAAUCUUUGAAAGCUAACCGUCAAAAUGCAUACUUUGGGAAGUUUUUAAUUCUUUUUGACAGCUAAAUUCUUUUAUUUUCUUUUACAUGGUUUUGGUUCUCUUUGAGUCUUCCUAUUAGGUUUUUAUUUUAAAAAAAAUUGGUUGUUGCUUUAACUAGACAAUUGAAGAUAAUCUUAAUUUAAAAUGGGAUUGAUCUUGCAUCGCAUACAAGUUAAUUUAAAGAAAAUGUGCCCAUAAUGCUACUGAGACACUUAGAUCAUCAAACGAAUUAUGUAAUGGUACAAGAAUGAUAUGUAGAGAUUUUAAUAAUAACAUCAUAUAUGCAGAAAUCAUGAUGGAUCAAUAUACUUCCAAGCAUAUAUUUAUCCCCUGAAUUUAACUUUUGCCUCUAAGAAAUGAAAGAUAUCCUUUUAAAUUUAACUGAAAAUAAUUUUUAGUAUGCUUGAAUUUUGCAGAAGGGGAGGCUUGGAGCAAUAGUAAAGUGUUCUAUGUAUGUCACGAUCCAAAAUUCACUAGUCGUGAUGGCACCUAAUCUAACCCGCUAGGUAAGCUAAUUAACAAUUAUCUAUUUUCAUUUAACUUAAUAAAACAAUUAAACAAAGGAAUUAUCUAAAUUUUAUACUUUUCCCAAGGACUGGUAUUACAAAUCAUAUGCUUCUAAGAAGGGAGUUUACAUAGCUGAUAUGAAGUAAAUACAUCUUCUGUUUGAAAAGUACAUAAACAGAGUUUUAUAGUCUAAGGCUACCAUGAACAAUAGGCAGCUACAACAGGGACGCAGGUACAUCUUCCAAUCAAGAUUUCGUCGAACACUGCAAUAUCGACAUCUGAAAUAUGCACGCAAUGUGCAAGAAGUGUAGUAUGAGUACAAUCGACCCCAUGUACUCAAAAAAGUAACAAACCUAAACUUAGGCUGAAAGCAAUGACGAGCUGGAAAAUACGUCGGGUCCAGCACCAAUAACCAAUAACAGUUCAUAACAUCGUAGAGCAUAUAUAAAUAAGGAAGUAACUCAGAGACAAAAUAAUUAGCUUUUCACAAUUUUUCGAAACAGUUCUGCUUUUCAAGUACAUCAGUGAAAAUCAAAAUCCUUUAACGAAAUCAUCAAGAAUAUGAGUAAGUUUAAAAACUAUAACUUUUUCCCAAAAACUUUUCAUCACGUAAAUGUUUCAUUUUCAGAUAGCAUGAAGAAAGUACAUAUCUAUGCCUACAUGUCAAGAUACAGGUAAAAAUCAUGAAUGUCACCAAAACCUAGCAGCAAAAGCAAAUGCAUCUCUAUGCAUAUAUAUCAAGUACGCAUGUCAAAUGCAAUGUCUCUCAGUGAUGAACUCAUGUACUCACACUCUCAGAGUACUCAACUUCACCGUCUCACAUUAUCUCUUCCUGUGAUCAAUACUCAGCAUACUUAACACUGUACAAUACUCGUUGCGGCGUGCAACUCGAUCUAUAUAUAUAUAUAUAUAUAUAUAUAUAUAUAUAUAAGGCUCAUUGCGGUGUGAAACCGGAUUCAUAUACAUAUAGCCAUAAGGUUCGUUACGGCGUGCAACCCGAUCCAUAUACAUAUAUAUAGUCGAAUGCGCUCACUAAGGUGUGCAAACUCCGGAGGGGCUCCUUCAGCCCAAGCGCUAUAUCGUUGCGGUGCACAACCCGAUCCCAAAAGUGUAAUCAAUAUAACAUGUUGCGUCGUGCAGCCCGAUCCCAUAAUAUCACUCUCACUUAGGCCAUGGGCCUCACUCAGCCAUCAAUCCCUCCAAUCUCACUCACGGGCUCACAAUAUCAUGAAACUAGCCCGACAAUAAUGAUAUGAUGUAUCAAUAAACAACAACUGAGAUUGAGAUAUGAUAUGAAUACAUGAAUAUGAUUGAGUACGAAAUAUCAAUAAAAUCAGUGAGAUGACAGCAAGGAAUGACCACUAUGGGCCCUAACAAUAUCAGCAUAAAGCAUAAACAUGAUAUCUAGCAUGAUUGACAGCUCAGUUACUUAAUCACAUGGUGAAAAUACAGAUAUCAACAAAAUAGGGCCACUAUCCAAUGCCCUGGACACAACAGAGUCACAAUUCACAGGGUGCACGCCCACACACACGUCACCUAGUAUGUGUGUCACCUCAACAUCAAUCGCAUAUCACGUAAUCGGGGUUUCAUACCCUCAACAUUAAGUUUAGAAGAGUUACUUAUCUUAAACAAGCUAAUUCUAACGUCGAGCAAGCCAAGCGAUUCUCCAAGGAUGCCAUCACGUGCGUAGCGACCUACGAACGACUCAAAACUAGCCAAAAGCAACUCAAAUACAUCAGAUAAAGCCCAAGGAAACAACUUCAAAUGAUAAAGAUCAAAUUUUACAUCAAAUCUCAAAUCCAACCAAAAAUUACACCCGGGCCAUGCCUCGAAACUCGACAAAACUCACAAAAUCCUACAACUCAUUCAAUUACGAGUCCAACCAUACUAGUUUAACUCAAAUCCGACUCCAAACCGGUGUUCAAAACUCAAAAAUUCAUAUUAUGAAACUUUAGGCCAAAACCCCUAAUUUUUCUCUUUCAAUUCAUCAACCAAUUGCUAAAAAUGAAGAUGGAUUCAUGGAAUAUACUCAAAAUUGAGUAGAGAACACUUACCCCAAUCUUUGUGAUGAAAUUUGCUCCAAAAUUGCCUCAAUCUGAGUCUCACAUCUCAAAAUAUAAUGAAAGAACAAAACCCUCGAUUUUUAUAACUCUGCCCAGCACUUUCGCAUCUGCAACCUUCGCUUUUGCAGAAAAGGGCUCGCAUUUAUGAGAUAAACCGUUUCUGCGAUAGCCAUGACCGCAUCUGCGGUUACGCUUCUGCGAAAAUACCUCCGCACCUGCGGACCUUCACUCCUCAAUGAAAAUUCGCAUCUGCAACGAUUGGCUCGCAUCUACGGCCAUAGAACCUGCACAAACCAGCCGCAGGUGCGGUCAUACCAGAACCAAAAAUCUUCAGCAAUGCAACAUUAAAUGAAAAUGAUCUGAAACUCACUCGAGCCACUCGGGACCCCGAACAAAUAUAUCAACAAGUCCCAUAACAUAAUACGGGCCCACUCGAGGCCUCAAAACACACAUAACAACAUCGAAAUGACGAAUCACACCUCAAUUUGGAAUCAUUGAACUUUGAAACUUCAACUUCCACAACCGAUGUCGAAACCUAUCAAAUCAUGUCCAAUUGACCUCAAAUUUUGCACACAAGUCACAUUUGACGUUACUGACCUGCUCCAACUUUCGGAAUCGGAAUCCGGCCCCGAUAUCAAAAAGUUCACUCCCAGUCAAACUUUCCAAAAUCCCAACUUUUGCCAUUUCAAGCCAAAUUCUACCACGGACCUCCAAAUCACAAUCAGGACGCGUUCCUAAGUCCAAAAUCACCCAACGAAGCUAACGGAACUAUCAAAAAUCCAAUCCGAAGUCAAAUACUAAAAAGUCAAACUUGGUCAAACCUUUCCAAUUUGAAGCUUCUAGCUGGGAAUCAUUCUUCUAAAUCAAUUCUGAAUAACCUGAAAAUCAAAACCGACGAUUCACAUAAGUCAUAAUACAUCAUACGGAGCUACUGAUGCCCUCAAACAAUCGAGCGAAGUGCAAAUGCUCAAAACGACUGGUCGGGUCGUUACACUGUAUAACCUAUAAGUCACGGAUUCAGGCCGUGAAAGCAGCCAUUAAUACUUACAUUAGGUUAGUUAUGUACAUCACACUCCUUGGGUAUGUCCCUUCUCCAGACUAUGCGUGAAUGAGGGAUGUUUUGUAUACUGAACUAGCCUUUUUUAUGAUUAUGUUUUGUAAUGACAAUGAUAAAGGACAAGGGCAAACAAUCCAAAUAUUGGAUUAUAUUUGCUGCAAUAUAUUUUCUUGUACGGAUAACUAUAUGGUGCACUUUCAAGAGGAAUAUCAAUAUCGACGAAAAAAGUUCUAGUUAUUAUGGAGCAACCAAACUGUUAGAAGGAAACAUACACAUACAAUAACAUUUACAAAGAAUUUUUUCAUAAAAUAUCACCACAUUGCAUAUUUCUAAAUUAUAAGUAGAUAGUCAUAUUAUCUAACUAACAUGAUAAAACCAAUCAUUUUUGCAGGUUCAAAUAAUGAUGUCUAAUCACUUUGAAUUUACGUAUUAUACCAAUACGUACUAUUAUUAACGUGCAACACAUGUUCGUAGAAAUUAGUUCCUUAAAUAUACAUGUAUCGACUCAAGCUCAAAGAAUCCUACAAUAAUUGUAGAAUGCACUUUUACAAGUGAAGUUAUAUCUCAAAUCUUAGCUUGUAGGCAUAUGUAGUAUCCUCUCUUGUGUUAUACUUAAGUAUUCUUUUUCUUUUUUUUUUUUCAUUUGGUUUAUUCAUUCAAAUUCCCCAAAUCUAACAAAUUGAAAUCCUUGAUCUACCUUUGUCAUUGUAAGAUUUUAUAUAAUUAAAACUAUAUAGCAUAAUUCAAUGAUUUCAGUAUUUUUGAUAUGGAGUAUAGGUAUAUAUGUUAAAAAUCACUAAAACUGCAAGAAAAAAUAAUAAUUUUAACCUAUAAUUUUUAAUUGGUAAUGGAUUCAUGGUAAAAGCCUAAAGGUUGAACCCGUAAAAUAUAAAUUCUAGAUUUAUCACUUUGAAAUAGUGCACCCAUCUUCUUAGAAUCUCGAAUUCGCGUCUGGUCAAUCAUAAUCUUUUUCAUUAAUGAUAAUAAUUAGAACAAAAAACGUAGGCGUAAUAUAUAGAUCGGAAGUCAAACAUAGGAAGAGGUGCCUAUGGUUCGGGGCGAAACGAGUAACGAAAAAAUGAAUAAAUUAUCCGGUCCGAUCCAUAUUUAAUACGGAUAAAAAAUGGUUAACCGGCGGAUAAUAUGGGUAACCAUAUUUGUCCAUGACUUCUUGCAUAUGAUCAAUUUUGAGAGAAUUCUUAGUCUCUAAUUUGAGGAACACCAAUUUGAGGCUUUACAGAUGUAAAAGUUAGACCCAUUAAGUAUCUAUUGGUUAACUAUUUUCUAAAUGGAUAAUAUAAUUCUUAUCUAUAUUUGACCCGUUUUAAAAAAAAAAAUAUUAUCUAACUCAUUUUUUAAUAAAUAAAAUGGAUGAUUAAAUAUAUAUAUUUUAACCAUUUUGCCACCCGAUGUACCUUAGAAGUGGAAUUAGAAUAUGAGCAAACAGUGUAUUUCCAGUCAUAUGAAUAUAUUUAACUCUUCUUUUUUAACCCCUCUCAUAACCCAGAACAGGCCGAUUUCAAUGGCUGGAAUACAUAGACACCUCUUAACUUUUUAGUAAAAAUUGUUUAGACGCCUCAACUAGGACCAUGACCUAUCUACCGCUCGAUUGAAGUUUGCAGCAUAGCAGAGUUGUGGAUUUAGUAUGCAGAUUAGUUAAAACAGGGUAAGAUGGCAAAAUGCUCAAACACUUGAGAAAAGAGGUAUGUGAAGUGUUUCUGUUACAACAGUCAAUAUGUGAAGUCUUUAUUAAAAACGUAUUGCAAUACCACAUGCCCUUGAAAUUAGAUAAGUGUGUUUAACUCAGCUAAAUGUUGGUAGGGAAAUUGGAAUAGAUUUGUCUAAAAUUAAGAGUAACAAAUUGGAUUGGAUCAUUCAUCUCAACUUUCCCUGUGGAAUCAUAGAUUAGUGUGUUUAACUCAACGCAUGAGUUUAUUAGUUAAAAACCAUAGAAUUCUGUAUUAAUUUUGUCCUCAACCUAUGCUUCUUAGUUUACAGUUUCUUUCCUUCUUUAUAAGCUCUCAGUUUUCUUUAAGUAAUUAUUAUGUUCUUAGGUAAGUGGCCUACUGUGAUCGUGCUAGAAAUAAUAAAAUGAGAAUUAUGAAGACAAGUUAAUCAAGUUGUCACUUUUCACUAAGUGUCUUGCUUCAAGAAGGGGAUCUUAUCGCGACGUGUAAGAGUUGUCGCUGUGUGAAAAGGAAAUCAUGUGUUCUAGCCGUGCAAAGUGCAAACAACAUCUUGCAAAAAUGCAAAGUAAGGUUUUGAACAAUAGACCAAAUGUGUUCGGCCCCUCUCUAGACCCCACACAUAGUGGGAGGUUAGUGCACCGGGCUGCCCUUAUUUUUAUAUAUCUUGUUUCAAAAUUUCUUAACUGAUCAUGGGAUGUUUGGAAAUAUAACCUUUCUUUAUUAAUUUAGAUGCUAUGUUCUAGCAUCACUCUGGUGUGUUUGUCUGGCUCUUUCUCUAGGUUGGGCAUAAGUGUGUGUGCUUCUAGCUUGUAAAAUGUAAAAUCAAAAGCUGAUAACAGGAGAAUCUUAGUAGUCCAGUUGAUUGGCUACUUGAAUUUUCACCUUGUUGGUGGGGGUUCGAUUCCCCUCCUUGCAAUAUCUUCCCCCAUUUCCCCUUCCCCUCCUGCUAUGCACAAUGAAAAAAAUGAUAACAAUAACUAUAUAAGAGCUGUAACAUUACCGAGAUAUGGUGUGUUUCUCACGUAGAAAGAUGACCAUUGUGUCGUUUCUUCUUGACUUAUUAGUGAUGAUAUCUUUUUGAUUCCCUCUUCAAUUCAGUUCUAGGAAUUGGGUCUUAUGUGAACAACACAUACUGAAGAAGAUGAGUGAGUCUAAGAAUUGGUUGGUUAGUAGAAAUCAUGAUCUAAGGAAGCAAGGAUCAAAUGAGGGAUUUUUUCAAACAUGUAAACUUGAGAAAUUAGCUGUACUAAAAUUUGUUGCCGCUGGUAUGUUCAACUUGUGUGAUUUCAGAUUCAGCAAUCCAUUUAUGUCAUGUGACUUCAGAUUGAAAUACUAUUGGGAAUUCCCUUUCCAGUAAGUCCAGUAGUACUCUUGUCACCUGACGCGUUUGGGUACAGUAACGUAUAAGGCAUCUGUAUAGGUCCUUUUCGGUUCUUCAAUGUAUUGUCGUUGUUCCUAUCCAUUAUUCUGUUCUCGAUUUCUACCAGUUUGUCAUGGAAUCCCUCAAAUGCAUGUCGUGGUUUACUAUCAGAAGUCCAUUCAGGAGCAUCUCUUUGUCCAAGAUAAAUCUCAUCUGAAGAAUGCAUGGAUAACAUCUCUAUCAAAGAGAUGCCAAGAAGAGUUUGGAACUGGGCUGUGAUGGUCUUUAGGUAGGCUCGCUCAUGGUUUGACUCAAGCUCAACAUACUCAGGAGUGCCUGGCAUUGGCAUAAAGCGCCGGCUUACGGUUGGGCGAUUUGGGAGAUAACCAGCAUAAGGAUAUUGCCCAAAAUUAACUGCUGCAUGAAGAGCAGAAGCCACCCAUAUGAUUAUGGUGCAUGUUUGGACAAGCUCAGCUCUUGUCUGCAUCUGAGGCCACCAUGGUUCAUCUUUCAAGUCACCAUGACCCACGUUGCGAACUUCUGUCCACCAUGAUUGAAGUUCAGGAUCAUCUUGGAUCAUUUCAUCCGCUAUGUAAUAGAAUGAGCAAUACUCUUCCACCCAGGUUUCAAUUGCUGACCAAAUCUCAAGUCCAUCAACGGCGUAAGGAUAAUCCUCUAUCAGAAGUCUAAGGCCAUGAGGCUGGCUUGGGUCUGGUACUGCAACUCCUCUAUAAAUUAAAAAUAAUUGAGAGCAUUACUUGGACAAGAUGGAUAUGACAUUGAAUUUUAAGCUGUAACAACUAGUGACCUACCUCUUAAGUAGAUCUGCAGGGAGUGCCUGCUCAGUGAACACCCAAUUCUUAUAGAUGGAAGAAGACAUUUCCAUGGCAUACUUGGAUGGAAAUACUGUCAACUCAAGUAUUCCACCUGCAUUAAUGAGGAUCUGCCGAGCCAAAGCAUUGAUGUUCAUUGUAUCACGGAAGUGGGGAUGUAGAAGCUUAUAGAUUGGAUGAAGCACACUCAAUUGUCUGUUUGUUGCUAUAAUAAAUGGCUCUAAAGCUGCAUGGGUAUUCAACCUGCAAAGUAUGUAACAAAAUUAAUGUAGUGACUUCAAGAGGUGACCUGCUUCUAUAGUUUCUACCUUUUCAUCUGCUUUGUUAAGUAGCUCACCAGUGACUGACGAGCUGAUGAUACCCAGAAUCAUUUACAGCAACAUAGGCUUUAGCCAGAUGCCAGACAUAGCCUUCAGCACUCUCAUCAUUACAUGGGGUAAAUACUUGACUGCUGGAACCAUGUUUAUCUCCUUGUGGGUGUGGUAAGCUCAGUUCGAUUGCAAGUGGCUUCAAUGUUCCAUCAUCUUGGAGUAAAAGGAGGGUCCGACUAGCAUAGAUCUUAUUGGAUGUUGAGUUAAUCCGAUUAAGAUAAGGCAUAAGCCCGUCAUGAUAAUCUAAGAUGAAUAGCCUGUUAUACUUUAUUGCCUGUGACCACAAAAGAUAAAUGUGUAAAAUAUAUAGAAUCUAAAAUGGAAACAGAUGAAUAGUUUCCAUAUACAAAGGAUGCCUUGGUUUUCUCUUCCUUUCUUUAUGAUAAAUCACCAGAAAAAAGUUGGUCCUCAGAAAAAGAAAAAAAAAACAGAAAAAGAAAUGAAGAAUGAGUAUUACAUCAUCCACAGUUAGUCCAUCCAUGUAUUUCUCAAUCUGCUCUCUUGUGAUUUUACUAGUUUGGUUGCCAUAUACUUCAGGAUUUAGCUUGCUUGUGGGUGGAAAUUCCUGAUAGGCAUUUAGUCUUUUAGUAUCUGCAUUCAAAGAGUACAAAAACACAUAGAAAAGAUAAAAAAAUUCGUAAUUGAUAUUACCUGGAGACGCUGGAUAAUCACAGGAUUGACUCCAGCCAGCAUUUCACGUCCAAACUCUUCAUCUGUCCUCCAUGCAGAGUUAUCUUCUGUAUUUUUUUUUUUUUUGGGAAAGGGUUCACAAUUAAUUUACUUUUUCACCUUAGGAAGUACUCAGAGGCUAAAGUAGUUGUGGAGCCAGAGAAAGAGAACACAUAAGCACCUUUAAUUACAUGAGGAAUUGGAAAUUUAUGAAGUUGUCCUUUAAGCAUCUCCCAUGGCAUGCUUUCCGUGGAGUUAUCAGGAACUCGACCUUUAUAGACUUUUUGUACAUGUUUGAAGCUGUUAAACUCAUUAAAAGGUUUGGCUAACAGAGAUGCAAGCUGUGGAAUUAUGACCCGACCCAUUGAUUUGGCACCAUAUCGAAGGAAAUCCAUAAAUUUCACAUGGUUGAAACGUUCAUCUCGUGGAACAUAAAUGUUCAAACUCAGAAGUGGAAGCCGGCUCUCUAAGCUAGAAUCUGUAACAGCAAACUUAACUCUUUCAACAUGUUCUAUUAGUGGUUCUAAGACAACACCUGGAAAUAUGAUGACAUUAAUAUGUUUGCAGCCUAACCUCUUUUAGUCAGUGGACGGCCCGUUCUUCCCCUUCGGGGGUAUGGAUAAUCCUUUCCCCCACCAAGCACUGGUCGACCAUGUCCUAAAUCAUUGUAGACUGCAUAGUCGUAAACCCUGUCCCAUUCCUCGAGUUUGCCAGAACCUGUACCCUGAAGAUUAAUGAGCUCCUCAUUCCUGUAUGGCCGAAGGGGUUCUGGUGUGUUGCAUGGCAGGUAUGUCUGAUAACACCAAAAAUUAGAGAUUCAGUCUCUAUCAUGAUCCAUAAGUUUGAAUUAAAUCCUGUACGCACGACUUGGUUAAGAUUUAGUAUGUCAGUGUAGGUAUAAUGUGAGAUUAGAGAACUUCAACUAGUUUGGAUUGAGGAAUAGUUGAUUGAUUGAUAUGACAGUCUUAUUUUCAUCUAUAUAAAAACUCUAGGUUUACAUAGCCUUCUAUCCUGUCAUACUUUAGGACUGUCAUCAUAAUCCUGUAAGUCAGGAAGUUCAGAACUAUUUUGAAGAGGAACAUAUCUUAUUUAACUUGAAAAUGUAUUUUUUUUUUUUUUUGUGUAUCUGGGAAUCAUACAGUUAGGUUUAACCUAUCAGUAUGUAUUUUUUGCCUAGAAAAUUGAAGUGCAUCCUCAACCUUAGUGCUUUCUUCUGCAAUUACGUGUAAUAAGCUCUGCCAGUUCCUGUUGAGUGAUUACAAUGUUUUGCAGGCAUCAUAUAGAUUCCUGGAGUAAGGUUAAGAAAUAUGAAUACCUUGUUGCUAAAAAACACCCGAUCGUACUUGUAGCGAUGUGCUGGAUACACCCAAGAAUUGCAGACGAAACGAACUUCACCAUGUCCGGGAAUAUCUUCUAAAGCAACGGUCUUCAGGUAAAACUGGCUAUGAUGAUAGUUCUUUAUAAUGAAAGCACCUGGAACUCCUAUUGACUCAUCCAACUCAAAUGUAAUAUUGAAUGUAGCUUCUUCCACUGAUAUCCAAGUCUUGCUGGAUGUCCAGUCCAAAAUUGCUGGUUUUCCCACCUUCCCUUUUGAUCCAUUUCCUUUAAGAAUGAAAAAAAAAAAUUGUGCUUCAAUGUUACUGUACAGAAUAACAUACAUUCUGCAUUUAUUGCAUUAAGGCUUCCAAAUUAAUCCGAAGUAGUUGAUUUCAAACAUUUAAACGACUGCAGAGAAGGAACUAUCAAGGUUUUCUUAUGGUAUUUUUGCUUCUAAAUGGGAGGAAACCAGGGAAAUAAAACCUUUAGAUUUAUUCUGCUGCUUACUUUCGCAAAAUUUGUUGGUGAAAAUGGAAUAACCAGGCAUUCAGAAUUCAGGUAGUGGAGGUUCAGGAGUUAAAAUUUUGAAACUCCAGAAUAAGAGUUUGUUACUAAAAUGGCGUCGGAGGUUUAAUGAUUUUAACAAUGAACUAUGGAACAAUGUUAUAACCAUUAAAUAUAUGGUAAGAAUGAGGAGAGGUGCACUAACAGUGUAAGAGGUGUGUAUGGUGUAUCUGUUUGGAAGCCUACUAGGAGUCUAUGGGAAGAAUUUUAUGACUGUUUAAGCUGAAAGUUGGCAAUGGAAGAAGAGUGAAGAUGUGGUCAAAUAGGUGGCUAUGACACUUCCUUAAUUGAGCAGUUUCCAGAUCUUUAUGCAAUCAUAUCGAACAAGCACUCUAUGGCUGAUUUCUACUUUUAUUUAAGAAGGAACUUGGAUGACUGGGAGAUUGAUUGCAUAAAUGACUUCAUUCAACAGCUAAAACCUGUCUCUAUUUGAUGAUCAGGUGGCUGAUUCUUUGUUGCGGACGGUUAAGAAAAUGGUAAAUGUACUGUCAAAGUAAUGUUAUAAAAGCCUCUUGAGGAAAAUAGGUGGAAUCCAUGACUGUUGACCGUGGAAGAUAAUCUGGAAAUCUAUUGUCCCCGUAGAGCUGCUUGCUCCACUGCACUGUUACCAAGAAAAUAUGGUCAAUGUUCCGGAGCAUUUUUGGAGUCCAAUUGGUUACGCCAGGAAGAAUAAAACUUGCCUUACACAGCUCGUAUGCACAGCCAUUUGCUAGGGGCAGCAAACACUGCUGCAAUGCAGUUCCUACUUGCAUAUUCUGAAUACUUGACUAGAUAGAAAGCAACAGAUGUUUUAAUGAUAAGAGUGAUAACAUUGCAAAUGUAAUAUCUAGAUGCUGUACGGAUCUUUCUUUGUGGUGUGGGAAGAACAUUGUAUCUGACAUAAUAACUAACAAGUAUAAUAACUAACAAGUUUGUUUGCAUCUCUUUGCUCAGCUCUAGGGAGAAAAUGUAAAUUACCAGGAUCAGCAUGGACAUCACUAAUGAGCUCUAGGAUGACGCGUUUGCCAAAGAGCUCGUGCAUUCGAUCAAGGAAGGCAGAACCAGCAUCCUUGAAGUUCAAUACAUUUUUCUUCCUCAGUACAACUGUCCCCUUGAUCUUAAUGGAACUGGUUUGAUUGCUAGAAUUGCUUUCUAUUGGAACGUCAUGCUGCUUCCCGCAAACCAUUUCCAGCAUUUUCUCCAGUACCUCUGUACAACAUGGUGGAAAGAUCCCCAUUGAACAAAAUGGAGAUACAGAACAAGUCCUAAAGAUAUGUUUUUGAGUUGAAAUAAAGCAAAUGUAUCCUCUUUGUAUUAGUGCAACAACAGUGAUAGACUUUUGUGUACUAUUAUAGCUGCAGUAGACUUGUAUAUCGUUGGAAUCCCAACUUGGAUCAAUUGAGGCAUCCACGUUGGUGUUAAGAAAUUCUAAAUCUUAGCUGGACAAGUUUGACUUGAUCCUUCCUUGUAGAAAAAAAUAUGAUCCUGGUAAUAUAUUCACAGAGCUUGAAUGUGAUCAAGAUCCGGUUAACAAGCUUUCACUGUCUCCAGAUAUGUUUAGCAUUAGUAUAGCACCAACUUCUAAUAUGCUACCAUUUUUUAAUUGCAUGAACUUGUAACAGUGAUAUAUAUAUACACUUUACAUAUUAUUAGUUUUAAAUAUUAAAAGAAAAAAAAAGAAUGAAAAGUUGCUGCAAGAGUGAAAUGACUUGCUCAUGAUAAAUGAUUUUAGGCAUUACUUUCGAUAGAAAAUGAUCUUCUCAUGGAAAAACAUUUUCAAAAAGUUUAUUUCCGUAACUAAUUUGGGUUAACAAGACUUGGGUCAUCAUUUAUACAUAUUAUUGUCUGUCCAACAUGGAUUAAUUUAGGCGCCCACGGAUUGAAGGAUAUAAUAAAGGCUUGAUGUUGACUAGUAAUUUGUUGACCUGAUCCCUCAUUGGGCAUCACUCUGGCACUUUAAGUUUAAGUUAAGAAUUAAGAAUAAUAUAAAAGUAGUAUAAACCUUUUCACAUUGACUCGCAAGUAAAUAUUAGUUUGACCAAUAAAAGCUUGCUAUGAAUGUGAAAAGGAUGAAACAUAUCCCAAAGCUUUAAAUUAUUGUACCCCAUUAUUAGCUUACAAAUCAAGAUCCGCUUAACAAGCUGAUGAUAAGCUUUCACUGUCUCCAGAUAGGCUUAAUAAUAGUACAGCAGCCAUUUCCAUAAGUCCUAACAUGUAUGCUAUAUAUUCCACAGACCUCAAUAAACAUUAAAUUAUACAAGUUGCAACUACUUAAAAAAAAUGAAAGGGAAAUACAAGUUGCUGAAAAAGUGUUAAAAUUAAUGAAGAGAUGAAAGUUUGUAGAUAAGUUAUAAGUAGCUCCCAAAAUUGCUUUAACUUGGCUAAACAGGCUCUACUUAACAGCUCCCAAAAUUUUUAUUUGAAAUGGCAAGUGUGUUUGCUUGUUACUUUCCUUGAAAACAUUUUUUUCGUAACCAACUAUCAGAAAAUGACUUCCUCAUGAAAAAAUAAUUUUAGUUCUGUUUUUAUUGGAAAAUGACUUUCUCAUGAGAAAAUAUUUAAAAGUUACUUCAUUAAUUUGGAUUAACCGGACUUGUGCCCCAUCGAUUUUUCUUUUCGCUUUGCCAUUAUGAAUACUCUUAGAAUUCUCAGCGCUGGGUAGGAAAUUUUCAUAUUUUAUAAUAAAAUUAACAGAAAAGGUCCAAAAAUAUCUUUGAACUAUUCGAACUCAAAAAUAUCCUCCGUUUGUUUUUUAUGCCAAAAAUAUCCAUGCCGUCUAUGUUUUGGCCCAAAAAUGCCCCUAAAUUAGUUUUGCCAUUGAAGCUGACAUGGCAGUCCAACUGGGUUAGAAUUGCUUCCGUGGUCGUCCACCUAAGCAAUCCAUAUGUGAAAAUUAUUUUUUCGGAAAUUUUAUUUUUCCAAAAUUUCUUAAUAAAAUACAAAAUCAACAUUUAUUCUGAAAAAAGUAAAAAAAUUCGAAAAAAAUAUUUAUUUCGGAAUUUUGUAAUUAAAAUAAAAAAUCAACACUUAUUCCGAAAAAAGUAAAAAAUUUACGAAAAAAUUAUUCUUGAUCCGGGUUUAUGAAUUGAUUAAAAAACUCCAUUGUUUUUUUUUUUGUGAAUUUAUGAUUAUAGAUAUCGAGAAUUCAUAUAACCGGCCCAACUUGUUUAGGAUUAAGAAACCAGUGUCUUUAUUGUUGUACAAAUAAAGUUUUAAUUUUUUUCUUGUAAAUGUUGUGUGUUAAUUUUUUUUUUGGGGAGCUAAAGAAUGGGGUUGAAAUUAUACAUGGAUAAUGUUCCAAGACAUAACUACGCUAUUACUGGAUUCAAAAGCAUUCAAAGACAUAACUCCGAAAUUCAUAAAUUAAUCAUAAAUUCACAUAAGAGAACAAUGAAGUUUUUUUAAUCAAAUCAUAAACCCAAUCAACAAUAAUUUUUCAUAAAAUUUUUACUUUUUUCGGAAUAAGUGUUGAUUUUGUAUUUUAAUUUACAAAAUUCGAAAUAAAUAUUUUUUUCGAAUUUUUUUACUUUUUCAGAAUAAAUGUCGAUUUUAUAUUUUAUUAAAAAUUUCUGAAAAAAUAAUUUUCACAUANNNNNNNNNNNNNNNNNNNNNNNNNAUGUGUGUGAGAUACAUGCGUGAUACAUGUUUGAUGCAUGUGUUGCAGAAGACUUUUUUGAACUCGAUUUAAUUAAGAAUUUUGAUACAAAACCAGUCCAAAUCACCUCCAAUCUUCCUCAAAUUUUGUAUAUUGACUUAUCUAUAUAUUUUCAAUGAAUUUCAACUAUACCCAUUGAAAAAGUUCCUUUUUUGUUUAGAUUUUUGGAAUAUUGUAUAUAUUUUUUGUAUUUCAUCACUUUAUUUGUUACCUCAUCCAUAAAAUUUCCUUUCCGUCUUGUAUCUAGUGUUGCUAAUCACGCUUAAAAAUAUGAAAGGUGAUUUGUGCAUGUGAUUCUGUGAAAGAAAGAACCCUAUUAUUUGAUUUUUCAAUUUUUAUUGGUUAGUUUUGGUAAAUCUAUGAUUAAUGGCUAGAUGUUGGUAAGUUGAGAUUUAUUUGGGACAUUUGUAUAAGUUUCCCUUAAAAAUUCAUGUGAAUGGAUCUUUAGCCAUAUUCUGUCGUUGCACAAUAACUAUCAACUAUCUUCAUUGGCAUAGAUGAUCCGACAAUUACCACCGCAUAAUUAUCACCACCAACCACUUUCACUAUCAGCUACCAUCGUACAACCAUCACCAUCAACUACUUUCGCCAAUCAUCACUAAUCUCCACUAUCAACUACCUUUACCACCUGUUUUGACCACCAUGCAACUAUCAUCACUAACCAGUUUUAUCAUCAGCUAUAUCAUCUAAGUUGCUCCGACAUGGCAGUUUAGGUGCCGCACCCGUGUCCACACGACACUAGUAUGGAUGUGGGUACAAGAUCCGUACCAAAUUUGGUCAAACAAUUUUAGGUACUUUGACCACGACGGACGGAAUUCGAGACGAUAUACAAUAUGAUUCCCAAAAUCAAGACCAAACAUAGGGUAAAUUUGAAGACAAUAGUAUAUCUUAUCUAGGAAAUCAAUCAUUUACUUAUCUAACUUGAGAAUAAAAAAGAAAUUCACACUUUACAAGUUAUAUAUUAGUAUUCCACAAAACUUCUCAUAAUUUAGAGAUAUUUUUUUUAUCUUUUUUUUUGAAUUAUUUUUAGCCAGAUCCCCGCACCCGUAUGUUUAACCAAAAAAUAGAAAUUUCGGUCAAAGCCUAUUUUUAGAAGUACUCGGGUAUUGAUAAUCAAGAAAAUUAGUAUUCUUGCAAUAAGAAAGGAAACUGGAAUAUGAAAUAGCAAAGUAAUCAAUAAAAAGCAAAAGUAAAUAAUUGUAUUCCAAUAAUAAUCAGAACAUGUCCAUACAGAUGACAUUUCUUUCCUUUAUAUAGUAGACUUAAGUACAACGUCUUUUCCCCUUUUAUGAUUGAGUUAUUAUGAGAAUUAAUGACAUUAAUUAAACGUUAUAAUUAGUAAUCGUAACUGUUUUGUUAAGAUUCUGUAACGUUUGUAAUCAUCCAUGCUCAUUAAUUGGAGAUCAAUGAAUCUUUCCUUUUUACUGUCUCGACUCAUUCUGCCGGUACCUCUUCUUGAACGACCAUAUCUUCCCCUCUCGUGGGUGAUUUUCUUGCAUCUGUAACGACUCGUGCCUCUUUUAAUGCAUUUCUCCAACUAUCACUUUCUUGAUGAUCCACAUGUCUUGUCUUACUAGCCAUCACAUAAAUCCAUAUGUAAUAUUUAUUUUUACCAAUACAGAUAGUCCCCCCCCCCACUUGCCGAAUAUUCUGCAAUUGAAUAUUUGGUAAGUGGUAUGUAUUUAUGGCGGGAAUUUUCGCCAAUGUUUCACAUGUAUCAUUACGUCUUCUUCAAAACCAACACGUCAUCCGUCACUUCCAUUUAAUGCAUGUGCCACGUGGUCUUCGUUAAUUGGAUCUGCAACUCUUCAGCGAUUUCUAGGGCUUUUUUAUGGCUGCAUCAGUCAUGAAGUGACUGUUUCAUUAUGACGUUCUCAUCAUGACCCCUUUUACAUGACGGUUUCUUCUUCACAUAAAUACCUCCUUUGCCUGUGCUUUACGAAAAAAUUUCUUCAAUGUUCACAACUCACUCUUGUUCUUCAGUACAUACUACUUUUUCAUACAACUAUGUCAUCUUCAAAUUCUAAUCCUCGAAAAGUUCUCAUAGUAGACAAACUUCCCCUUUCUUCUACUCCUACUAGAAGUAGGAGAGGUGGUAGGUUGCGCAGUUUAGGGUCAAUUUCUGUACGUAGUUCUUCUUCUCAACCCAGUUUUACUCCUCCAUCGUCAACUAGGGUUUCUUCUUCACACAGAUCUUCUGUUAGAAAUAGGGAUUCUAGUGAACCACUUCGUGAACCCUCUGUUGAAGAGACCAUCCCUACUGAACUUUUCUUCUUUACUAAUAGAGAAUCGAUUAGGAAUCAAGUCACUUCCAUGACUUCUCAUGAUCGUGAUGAUGUUUACCCUUCCUAGAUUAAUGAGGGUUUGAUUUCUAUUAUGCGUAGAUACUGUCAUUGAAAAUUUGAUUUCCCAAUUCUAGUCCCCAAUGAGAAUCAAAGGAUCACUUCCCUUAAAGCUGGUUUUUCGUGUAUACAUAUCCCUUCACAUAAGAUUUUAGGCCACCUAUUAAUCCAAUUGUUAUUGAGUUUUGUCGUUUCUUUGAUGUGUGUUUAGGAUAGAUUGGUCCUAUUGUAUGGAGGGUUGUGGCAUGCCUUAUAUACUUGUCAAACUUGGCUGCUUUACCCUUCACCUUUUAUCAUCUGAUUCAUCUUUAUUCCCCCAAGUUAUUUCGUUUUGGGGUGUUUACUCUUGUGGCUAGGAGUAAGAGGGUUUUAAUAAGCCCCGAAGAAGACAAGGAUCGUCAUUGGUAUGCCCGAUUUGUUGUUGCUCCUACAAGUGGAUUAGUAGGUGAAGAAAACAUGUCCUUCCCUGAGAAGUGGAUCUUUGCAUGUAAGUUUCUCUUCCAAUCUUUUAUUUCUCUUCUUUUUUUUGGUGGAAAAAAUUGUACUCUCGUAACUAUUUUACUUUUCUUUUUCAGCAACCAUAGGAACUGUUGAGAAAAUUUCCAAUUUUCGUGGUUGGGUAGAAAAAUUGCUAAAAGUUGUUCCAAUGGAAGAAAGGUCCUGGAAAUACCUUUCAAACAGAUUUGGAUGGAAAGUUGAGACUUACGGUAACUUUCUCUUUAACUUUCUUCUCUAUUUUUGUGCUUAUCUUGGAACUCAUUAACCUUUUUCUUUAUUAGGGUUUCCCAUUUAGGGUGUGAGUGCUGCAUCAAUUACGGCUUCGAGGCUCUCUCUAUCAAAGGCUCAAGAGAUAAUCUUGAGUUCUUCGUCAAAAAAGAAAAUCUGUUAGACCAUAGAACUCUGAAGACGAAGAGGAACAUGACGAAUGCUCGUUGGUUCGUAAGCCACGAGCUAGAAGACAGGUCAUUUCAAAUGACAAAGCUACUCCCCCUUCUAGUUCUGUUCCCAUGCUCGAGCCUGAGAAUGCUACCUUAGUGAGUUUUGAUAAAGAGACGCCUGCAGUACCCCGUGGCCCUACUAAACAACUCUUUUCUCGUGGAUUUGAUAAAGAAAAUUUUGGCUUUAUUUCUGAGGAAACGCCUUUUGCCUCAGGUCUAAUAUCAUCAUCUAGUGUGGACUAGCUUUUUGCCUAUCAUAUAAAAUUAUUAGUAUAAUUUUAACUGUACAAAAUAAAAAUCGUAAUUGAGCGAUACCUGAUCAUGGGUAUUUCUUUUGCUUAGAAAUAAUACUUCUUCAAAUGAACAACAUUCCAACUCGAGGGUAGAACUUUGCCAUCCAUGGUUUCUAACUCGUAGCCACCUUUUUCCAGUGAUACCUCGAAUCUUGUAAGGUCCUUCCCAAUUUGGACUCAACUUUCCUACAUUGGCUGCUUUCGUUGACUGAAAAACUUUCUUGAGUACGAAGUUCCCAAUCUUGAAGUAUCUAAGAUGAGCUUUCCGAUUGUAAUAUCGCUCAAUAAUUUGCUUCCGCGCAGCCAUCCUUAUCAAGGCUAUUUUUCUCCUUUCUUCAAGCAAAUCGAGUAUUAUUCGCAUCUCCUCCUCAUUUGACUCUUCGGCUACUUGGGUGUAUCUCGUACUUGGUUCACCUAUUUCAACUGGAAUUAAGGCUUCAGCAUCGUACACAAGUGAAAAUGGUGUCUCUCGUGUACUCGUUUUUGUCAUUGUUUGGUAAGCACACAAGACUCCAGGUAACACUUUUGGUCAUUUACCUUUUGACUCCUCUAGCCUUUUCUUUAAGUUAUUAAUAAUAACUUUGUUUGUUGAUUUAGCUUGUCCAUUAGCCACAAGAUGAUAAGGUAUUGAAGUAAUGCUUUUAAUUUGCCAACUCUGAAAGAAUUCUGUGAUUUUCGCACCUAUGAACUGCGGGUUGUUAUCACAUAUGACUUCUUUUGGAACCCCAAACCGUUAUAUGAUGUUUCUCCAAAUGAAGUCCCUGACUUUUUUUUCUCGCACCUGUUUGAAGGCACCUGUUUCUACCCACGUAGUAAAAUAAUCAGUGAGUACUAAUAACAAUUGUACCUUUCCUUUGGCUUGUGGUAGUGGACCCACGAUAUCCAUCCCUUGCUUCAUAAAAGGCAUGCUGCAACAACCGGAUGUAAUAACUCUGCUGGUCGAUGCAUUUUGUUACCAUAUCUUUGGCACUUGUCACAUUUGGUCACAAAACUUUCUGACUCUUCUUCCAUUUUUGGCCAGUAAUACCCUGCUCUAAUUAGAGUUUUUACCAAGGAUCUUCCUCCUGCGUGAUUUCUACAAUGUCCUUCAUGUACUUUUCUCAUCACAUACUCUAUUUUAAAAGGUCUGAGACACCUUGCUAAAGGAGCACCGAACAUUUUUUGAUAUAAAUUGUCUCGAUCCAAACAAUAACGGGUAGUUUUUCGUCGAAGUACUUGAGCUUUUUUCUUAUCUUCAGGUAGAAUUUCGUACUGCAAAAAAUUGACGAUCUCGUCUCUCCAAUCCCAGGUGAAAUUAUUGAAAUUUACCUCGUUUUUAUCUUGGUUGAGUGCCGAAUGAAAUAAAUGUAUUAUGGAAGCAUUUUAUUCAUUUGUUACUUCUGCAAUGGAUGCAAGAUUAUCCAACGCGUCUGCUUCGACAUUUUCUUCCCUGGAUAUCUGCACGAUUUUCCAAGAUUGGAAUUGCUUGAUCAAAUCUCGUGCCUUUCCCCAAUAUUACUGCAUCCUCGCCUCUUUAGCUAUAUAAGUCACAUGCAUUUGAUUAACUACAAGCUGCGAAUCGCUUUUGAUUAUGACCUGCUCUAUUCCGAGCUCUCAUGCCAAUUCUAAACCUGCAAUCACAACUCAUAUUCUUCUUCAUUAUUAGUAAUAGGAUGACACUUUAUGGCUUGCCUUAUAGUUUCUCCCGUAGGUGGGAUUAGAAUAAUGCCUAAACCUGCUCCUUUAACAUUCGAGGAGCUAUCGGUAAACAGGGUCCAAGUACCUAGAUUAGACCCGUUAAAUACCUACAGUUCUUUUUCUGCUUCUGUUACUAUCCCUGGGCUAAAGUCUGCCACGAAAUCUGCUAAAACCUGUGACUUUAUCGCAGUUCUAGGUUGAUAUGUGAUGUCAUAUUAACUUAGUUCUAUGGCCUACUUGGCUAACCUACCUGAUAACUCUUGCUUAUGCAAUAUAUUUCGUAAGGGGUAGGUGGUCACUACAGAAAUAUGGUGACAUUGAAAAUAAGGCCUUAAUUUUCUAGAUCCCAUAAUUAGUGCUAAAGCAAGUUUUUCUAAAUGAGGAUAUCGAGUUUCAGCAUCUAGUAAGGACUUGCUAACAUAAUAAAUUGGAGAUUCUUUACCUUUAUCUUCUCGAACUAACACUGCACUUACCGCCAUUUCUGACACAAUGAGAUAGAUGAGUAGCAUUCAUCGUUCUUUGGUUUAGCCAGCAACAGUGGGUUUGACAAGUAUGUUUUCAGAUUUUUGAGCGCUUGUUGGCAUUCUUUAGUCCACUCAAACUCAAAUUGGCUUUGCUUUUUCAAUACUAAGAAGAACUUAAAUCUUUUCUCUGAAGAUUUAGAAAUAAAUCUUCCUAAUGUUGUUAUCCUACCUGUCAACCUCUACACUUCUUUUUUGCUCGUGAGUAUAUCCGGUAUUUCUUCAAUGGCUUUAAUCUAUACUGGAUUCACUUCAGUUCCUCGGUUUGAAACUAGGAAACCUAAAAACUUACCUGAAGACAUGCCAAAUGCAAACUUUUCGGGAUUUAACUUCACAUUGAAUUUGCGGAGAAUUUGAAAAGUAUCUGACAAAUGUUGGAUGUGAUCCCCCGCCUGUGCCGACUUGACUAACAUGUCAUCAAUGUAGACUUCCAUGGUUGUACCUCAUCCUGAGUCACUUGGUUUUUGAAGGAUCUUUGCUUCAUUUUCUUCUAUUUGACAGGUGGAUACGUUGGAUCUUCAUUUAGCUUAUGGGUCAUCACCUCUGGUAGUAUAUCUGUCAUAUCUGAAUGCAACCAAGCAAUGCAAUCUGCGUUAGCUUUUAGAAAUUCAAUUAACUUACUUUUCAUCUCUAGGCUGAGGUUGGUUCCGAUGUAAACUUUUCUGUCUGGCUAAUGUAUAAACAACACCACCGCUUCGAGUUCCUAAAUUGUUGUUUUGAUGUUUUCGUUCUCUUCUAGCUCUUGAGUAGUAUCAUGCCUUGAGUCUACAUCUGUUUGUCCAUCUUCGCUUAAGAUUUGAGUUGGUAAACCCUCAACCGAAUUCUGUAAUUGCUAUUUCACAUCCACAACGUCAUUUUGUAUGCUUGAAUCUGCCACUGAAUUGAUAGUUUUAGAAGCCUAAUUAUCACUGCGGAUUUGCCUAAUUCCCCAUUGUGAAGGGAACUUAAUAACCUGAUGUAAAGAAGAUGGAACAACAUCCAUCUCGUGAAUCCAAGGUCUGUCGAGGAUAAUAUUGUAUGCCAUAUCCAUAUCUAUUACUUGAAUUUUUGCAUCUUUAACUACUCCUUCUGUGAAUGUGGUGAGUAUUAUCUCCCUUUUGUGACAGUACUUGAAUUGUCAAAUCCAGAUAAGGUACGUGUUUUGGAUAUCAAUUUGUCAUCAGCUUGCAUUUUUUACCACUCUUAAAAGAAUGAUAUUUAUAUAGCUACCUGGAUCAAUCAAAACUCGUUUCAUAUUAGUAUCAUGUACAAGUAAAGAUAUUACCAGUGCAUCAUUGUGUGGGAUCAAUGCGCCAUCUGCGUCUGCAUCAUCAAGUGUUAUACUAUCUUCUUCUAAAACUUGACGAGCUCGUUUCCCGUGGGUGACUGUGAUUUUCGACACCUACUUUGCAGCCGUAUAUGUCACGCCAAUGACCUCCUCCCCUCUGCUUAUGACAUUAACUGUUCUUUUUGAUGACAGAGGUUUUGGUGACUCUUGUCUAUUCUUCAUAUAUGCUUACUUACCCUUCUCACUAAACAAAUCGGUUAAGUAUCCUUGUUUUAAUAAGUUCUCUACUUCACCUUGUAGCAAUCUGCAAUCUGUUGUUUUGUGACCGUGAUCUAAUGAAACUCACACCAGAAAUCAGGGUUUCUUCUAUUUGGGUUCGAUCUCAUUUCUUUUGGCCACCACACCUUAUCUCCCAUGCUUCUUAAAAAAAGAUACCAACUCAGAUGAGCUAACAUUGAAACUGUAGCCACCAAUAUUCGCUUUUGAACUUCUAUCAUUGUCGCGCGUGUCUCGCUCCUUUCCAAACCUGGACGACGAACCCGAAUCUCUAUCCCUUGUUCUAGAAUUGUACCUUGGGUUCUCUUGUUUUGAACGUGAAUCCCUUCCUGCUGGUCCCAUGUAAGGUUCGUACCUAUUUUUACCGGACCUUUUUUCAGUUUCUGGUCACCUCGAACUUACACUUUCAUCUCCCCAGGACUAAGUAAUAGUAUCUUCUUCUAUCCACAGCUUCGUGCUAUACCUGUUGUAAACAUCAUCCCAAGUUGUUACCGGGAAUUCUCGUAAGCUUUCUUUGAGUCUCCUCGUGGCUUCUAAGCUUUUUGCAUUUAGAUUACUUGCAAAUGCCAUAGCCGCCCAAUUGUCAGGUACACAUGGUAACAUCAUUCUUUCAUGCUGGAAUCUAUCUACGAAUUCUCUGAGUAGCUCUGUAUCUCCUUGUUUUAUUUUGAAGAUGUCUUCCAUCCUCUUUUCAAUUUUUUGAGCUCCCGGGUGUGCUUUUAUAAAUGAAUCUGCAAGCUCAAUAAAAGAAUUAAUGGAAUUUUCAGGUAAAAGAGAAUACCAUGUUAGUGCUCCCUUUGUGAGUGUUUCACCAAAUUUUUUGACCAGCGCUGAUUCAAUCUCUUGCUUAUUCAAGUCAUUGCCCUUCACGCCAGUUGUAAAUGCAGUUACAUGAUCUCGUGGAUCGGUUGUUCCAUCAUACUUUGGGAUAUCGGGCAUCUUAAACUUUUUUUUUGGAAUAGGCAAAGGAGCGACACUUGGCUUCCAGGGUUGUUGAGAAUAUUUAUCCAUAUCCACUCCUUUGAUUAUAGGUGGAACACCUGGUAUCUGCUAUAUGCGAUCGUUCUGAUCCUUGAGUUGUUUCUGCAAAGUUAGUACUAAACUUUGUAAAUCAGAAUUAACUAGGAUACCUGACCCUCCAUCGCGAGAUUCGCUGGGAGUUCCUCAGCUGCUGAAUUAGUGAGUCCAGAACGUGGAUUCUCUAUGGUUGCGAUGUUGUUUGGAGGUGGAGUUGGUGGUACAGUUGGUAAUCCGCUAACGAAAGCUUGAAAAACAUUGUUCACAUGUUCUACAAUUAGUUGCUUUAAUGCAUCAUCAACAUUUUGAUCGCCCCCUUGUUGAUUAUUUACAUGCGAUGUUGAUCUAUCAGGUGAGUUGUCUUGGGAGUGUCGAGGAGAAUUUUGAGGUGAAGGGAUUGGGGUGGCAUUCUCUUGUUCAUUCUGUUGGUUUAGUUGGUCUUGCUGGUUUUGUUGGUUUUGUAGGUUUUAUUGGUUGUUGUCGUUAGCGUUCGUCAUGAUUUUUUGACAGUAAAAUGAAUUUGGAAAGUGAAAUGAUUAUCAGAUUUUCGGUAACGGAACCAAUUUGUUUAACCAAAAAUUAGAAAUUUCGGUCAAAGCCUAUUUUUAGAAGUACUCGGAAUACUGAUAAUUAAGAAAAUUAGUAUUCUUGCAAUAAGAAAGGAAAUUGGAAUAUGAAAUAGCAAAGUAAUCAAUAGAAACAAAAAUAAAUAAUUAUAUUCUAAUAAUAAUCAGAACAUGUCCAUACAGAUGACAUUUCCUUCCCUUAUAUAGUAGCCUCUAAGUACAACGUCUUUUCCCCUUUUAUGACUGAGUCAUUAUGAGUAUUAAUGACAUUAAUGAAGCGUUAUAAUUGGUAAUCGUAACUGUUUCGUUAAGAUUCUGUAACAUUUGUAAUCAUCCAUGCUCAUUAAUUGGAGAUAAAUGAAUCUUUCCUUUUUACUGUCUCGAUUCAUUCCACCGGUACCUCUUCAUGUAACUGUUUAAACUUGAACGACCAUAUCUUCUCCUCUUGUGGGUGAUUUGCUCGUAUCUGUUAUGACUCGUGCCUCUUUUUAUGCAUUUCUCCAGCUGUCGCUUUCUCGAUGAUCCACGUGUCUUGUCUUACCAGCCAUUUACAUAAAUCCACGUGUAAUGUUUAUUUUUACCAAUACACCGUAUCCAUACUAGGAUCCGUAUGCCCGAAUCUUAGAAUUUAUAUCUCGAAGGAUCCGACCUCUAGAUCCGCACCCAUGUCGGACACCCGCAUCCGAGCAACUUAGGCUACCAUCAUGCAACCACAAUCACAACCACCAUCAUUAACUACCUCCGCUAAUCACUAGCAGUGGCGGAUCCAUAUGAAUACUUAUGGGUGCUCAAGCACCUAUUACUUUUGACCAAAUUUAGUAAAUUUGAAUAGAUAAUUAUAAAAAUAUUUAAACAAAUAUUGAGUAAGCAACCACAGCUAAAUUUAUUUUUCUCUUCUUUCGGAAUAUUUAUCACAAGCAUCCAUGAUUUUAAAAUUCUAGACCCGUCACUGACCACUAGGAUCAACUUCUACUGUACAAUCACAAAUCAUAUCCACCUCCAUCACUAGCCUUUCCAUUGCCAUCACCCGUCGACAUUUCCGCAUAAUCACCACUAAUCAUUACUGCACAACCAUCAACACUAACCAUCUUCUGUAACCACAACAACCAUCAAUCACCACUCUACAAUUAUUGCAAUCAACUCUCACUACCGUCAGCUAUUAUUAUUGUAACUUUAAAAUGUGUUUAAAAAUAGUUUUUAUAACACUAACAAAAAAAUCAAUUUUUUAUUAGAAAUAUUUAAUUAUUACUUCAUUUGAAUUAUAUUUUCACUGAGCUAUACGAAUCUGAAGCUGGUGCAGAUAAAAGUUAAUAGACGAGACAGGAACACGAUAAUAGAUUAAGAUAUGAAUCUAUAUCUAUAUCUAUACUACUAUAAAAGUGAGAAGCCCUAAACUUAAAAGUUGAAUUACUAAAAUACCCUUAUGAAUUAAUUACAUAUCUCAAUUAAAAUAAAGUAUCACGUUUAUUUGAAGGGUUGUAAUCUUUCACAUUAAUUACUAAUAUUCACAAUAGCUUUAAACUAACUGUUCCUAUUUUAAAUUUGUUUUCCAACCGUUGCUAAUUUCCUUUUACAAGCAUUCGACUUUUCCUUUCAUAAAUCGCAUAGAUAUAUUUCAAACAAGAAGGAGAAGAGUAGUUCCAAUGUUCGAGUGGUUGAAAGUUUUAUCAAGAAAACAAGGGAUAGUAGUGAAUAAAAGUUUUUAUUAUGAAAAAGUUGACGUCAUUGUGAUUUGUGGAACAAAGGUAAGAAUGGAAAUAUAGACGUAUUCUUGCCUUCUUGGGACAGAAAGAAUUCCAAACAAUUAGUAAGAAUCUACAAUUUCACUUCCUUUUUGUCCAAUUCUGAUACUAUUCUUACAAUAAUAACGUAGUAUCUUUCAUUCUUCAGUUAUAAAUAAGGAGAAGUUUUGUUCUGUAAUUGGUGAAGCAAAAAAAAUUAUAUAAGUAUUUGUUCCACAAUAAAAAUUUCUCUAUUGUUUUUCGCUUUCAUGCUUGCUUUUUAUUUUAGGUAAACAAGAAAUAAUAUAUUGAGCCUAAGUCAUUCAUCAUUAAAUUCAAACACCAACCAUGGUGCGUAUAGGUAAAAGAAUAUAAUCGACACUCGCGGAUAGGUUGUUAUAUCUUAAAUUCAAACACCAAGAAUAUGUUCUAUUAACAAAUAUUUCUAAAAAUUAAUUGACAAGUAGACAAUUUCAAUUAUUAUUUCUUUCUUUGUAUUUAAAAUGAGAAUUUUAGUAAUAACAUUUACCCGUAUGAAAGCAAGUGCGGCUAAAUUUAAUGUAAUGCUUCAAAAGAAGCCUUCUUAUUUAUUUUUAUUUUUUUUUAAAAAAAGUUGUGUCAUUCACAAUAAACAAUAACUACUUAUAUUAAUUGUAUUUAAAAGUUUUUUUUCAUAUUCAAGUUCCAUAGAUAUUAAAUAGCCUAUAAAAUUGUGUUUAAAUGGUAAAAGUUUAUAAAGAAUGAAUGGGAAAUUUUCGUUCCUAUACCAUAUAGGAAAUUAUAUUACCAAAUAUGUUCAUUGUUUGCAUAUUACCCUUCAUGCUAAUAGUAUUCCUACAAAAUAUAGACAAUGCAUUAAAUAAGGAAUCAUUGUAGCUGUAGGAUUCCUUAUUUAGGCACGCUAAAAUUGGGGAAUUAAAUAUUCUUCAAGAUCUUCCACAACGCAGAUCACACAUAUUCAUAAUUAUUGUCGGCUUCACUUUGAUCUUUCACAACACAGAUCAAGAUUUUCCAUACUCUAUUUUUGCGAUACACUCUGUUUCCAGAAUUCUCUCUACAUCUCUCUCUCUCUAUCUCUCAAUCCCAAAUUUCAGUAAUACAAAGCAAAGGAAAAGAGAGCAACACCAUUGACAGCCAUUAAAAAGCUUGAAAGCUUUGAAUUCAAAUUUGAGUUUUCAAAAAUCAUUAUUUAUUUGGAUUGGGUGUUGUUGAAAAUAAUUGAGAAUAUAGUUUGGAGUUUAUAUCUCAAUUUUGAGGGGUUUUGGUGAAGAUUAAACUUGAUUUUGACUGAAUUUCAGAUUGAAACUCGAAGAAGAAGAAGAAGAAGAAGAAGAAGAAGAAGAAGAAGAAAAAGAAGAAGAAGAAGAAGAAGAAGACAUAUAUUGCAGAAAUUGUAGAAAAAUUAUAGAUUGUUGUUUAUUUAUUUUUCUUUUAUUCAUUUACCUAUUGUAUGAAAGUUGAACAACAUUGUAUAAAAAUUGUAUUUAAGUGGAUGAUUUACUACUGUUUUGGACAAAAAUAUGUAUCAAAAAUGUGAAACAUACAUUUCAGGGGAAGCAUGUCGAGUCCAAAUAUGUACCCAGUUUGUAGAUAUUUUGUAGAUAAAUUGUAGAUUAUUUGUAUUCUGAUUAUAGAUGCUUUAUUUUCUGUCUUCACAAAUAAAAAAUGACUAAAACUUCUACAAAUCUUCUGAAAAAACGCAAUUAUGUCAAAAAUCCCAAUUAUGCUACAAUUGAAUGGGAAUUGGGAUAUUAAAAUUCAAUGUACCCUGUUUGUAGAUAUUCUGUAGAUAAAUUAUAGAUUAUUUGUAUUCUGAUUGUAAAUGCUUUGUUUUCUGUUUUCACAAAUCAAAAACGACUAAAACUUCUACAAAUCUUCUGUAAAAAAUGCAAUUAUGUCGAAAAUUUCAAUUAUGCUACAACUGAAUGGGAAUUGAAAUAUUAAAAUUCAAUGUACCCAGUUUGUAGAUAUUUUAUCGAUAAAUUGUAGAUUAUUUGUAUUAUGAUUGUAGAUGCUUUGUUUUCUAUUUUCACAAAUCAAAACGACUAAAACUUCUACAAAUCUUCUGCAAAAAACGCAAUUAUGUCGAAAAUCCCGAUUAUGCUACAAUUCUGUGAUUCUUUUAUAUGCUCUUGUUACUCCUUACGAAACUGCUAUGCUAAAUAUGGAAUCCAAAAAAACAUGCUGAAAGGAUAGAUCUUCCUAAGAAAUUUUGUAGAUAAUUCAUAGAAACAUUGAAAUUCUGUAUUUUCAUAUUAAUUUUUCAAAUGAUAUGUAGUUUUGUUGUAGAUUAAAUGUAGAAAACAAGUCAUUAUAAGUCUUAUUUGACUCAUUCCGCACAUUCAACUUAUUCUAUAAAUUCACGCCUCUUUAAAUACAAUACAACCAUACUUUCUUGAAUUUAAAGGUAUAUCAAUAUAUAUAACUUAAAAAACAUCUUCUCCUCUGCACAAGUUAGCUCCAAAACAGACGAACUAGAAUAACAAGCUCCCAUCAAAACUUUUAACAUAAAAACACAAAGCUCAAAAAUAAAUAAACAACAGACUACAAUUUAUCUACAAUUUCUGCAAUAUAAUGUAUGUCAUGUCUUCUUCUUCUUCUUCUUCUUCGAGUUUCAAUCUGAAAUUCAGCCAAAACCAAGUCUAAUCUUUAGCAAAACCCCUCAAAAUUGAGAUAUAAACUCCAAAUCAUAUUCCCAAUUGUCACACCCUUUUUUUAUACUUCACUUAACCCUCUUAAAAAUAAUAAAAGUGAUUUAGUAAAGCUCAAACAAGGGUUUUUAAUUAAAAAGUGAAAAAACUAUGUUCAAAAGGAAAUAACUCAGAGUCACCAUCUGACUUUGAUUUCGGUGUGCCAGGUCACUGUUUUUUAAAAAAAUGAUCUUUCCUUUUUAGACUCUAAAACCAAGUCCGCACCAGUGAUUCGGGAAAUGGGGUUCAUUUGACCUGGGAAGAAGGUGUUAGGUACUCCCCAAGUCCCGUAAUUAGUACGGUUGCUUAUUUGAUCUAAUUUACUUUUAAAAUAUUCAAUUGAGGUAAAAACAAAAUAAACACACAAGAGGCUAGAGGUCGUCCCCACCUGAAAAGAUAAAAAUAAAUAAAAGAAAAUAUUAAAAUUCUAUUCUACGCUUCCUCACGUCAUCCAAUCUCUAACCUUCAUUUACAUGUACUAUAGGGCAUACCCCGGAUAAAAUAUAUACAAAUCUUUCGGGGCAUUCCCCGGUUAAAUUUAACUAAGGGAACGACCUUUUGCCUCAAAAUUAACGGAAGUCUUAAAGCUUGCCUACCCAAAGGUGGUCGGCUUAAGCAUGCUCCUAGCGAACAAUAUCAUCAAUAAAGAAAAUAAAAGGAACUAAAUAAAAGAACUAAGUGGAAGAACAAUUCAAUUCAUGCUCAUGUUUUGUUUUUAAACUUUUCGUUUUUAUUAGGCCGAGCCUGAUACCUAAAGCAUGGAACAAAUUAAUUGCUAAUGGGCUUUGGCCUUUCUACCACUCCCCACGACCCAAAUUCAAGCACGAACAGUACAAUAAAUACUCAAAAACACAUGAGGGGCAAAAUGAUAUAAAAUAAGAGGGAUAAACUAUAGCUGGUCAGAAUAUGAAAAGAGCCCUUCAAGGUCUAAACAGCACAAACAAAUACUCAAAAAUGCAAGUUCAAAUGAAGACUAGCUAUCAAUUUUGCAUUCUAACAAGGAAACGCAUGACACUCAACAGAAGUUCAAGCCCACUGGCAUCCGAACCAAUAUAGACAUAUAAACUCUAUUUUCAUUAGCAACAACUUCUUUAGUUCAGAAGAACAGGUUAUGAGAAGCAACUCACGCCAAACUUAAUGAAUAGAGGAAUUCGGAUAACGAACUAAUUUUAGAACGGGCAUACUUCACUAACCUACAGCUUGGGACUCCAACCAAUUGAAAAGAUUAUAUAGCAAGAGCCACCUUAAACAGAAUUUAGAACUACCAUGAGGACAACAAAUUAGUUAUUAACUAAAGCCUUUUAUGCGACUAUUUGAUCUAUCAAAAUCCUACACGGGCCUCAAUAAAAAGAUUUGAGCGGCGAACUCUCGAACAUUAAGCAUGGCGGAAUGGAACUAAUAUCUCAUAAUCUCAUGCUAAUUACCCAUUCACAAAUAAAUUCAAGGCAUGGGCUAGCAGUCAAGCAGCAUCGUAUAUAAUUCGUAUACCAACAGAUUGGGUCGACAACAAAUGAACAACCAUCAGAGAAUCUUCAAAAGUCAUUUUUUGUAUUCAAACUCAACCAAACAAAUAAGAACUUCUUAGAACUAGAACCUAAUAAGUGAAUUAAAAUUUUUAUAAGUAGAAAUGGCCUACGAAUGAAUGCAUCUGAUGUUUGAGCUCUAAUGAAAUCUAGCAGACUCGAUCAUUACUAUUGCAAACCAAGAGGACACUGAGUUUACUUGAGAUAUGGUAGCUAAGUUUCAUUAAAAUAACUUGAUGGAUGCUAUGGUGAUUUGCCAAGAAUAUAACACCUUAGGAGGAGGAACGUUUGUCACGCAACAGACAACAACAUAUAUAUAAGCAACACGACACUACAAGAAGCUCAUAAGCGGUGAGUGAUGUUAAAACACUGAAAAAAAUGCAUGAUCAUAUCAUGAAGAAAUCAACAGUUUUUAGAACCAAAAUCAAUAGUGAGAACAAAGAAUUCCAAUGAAAUAACGAAGAACGAACUAUAUUCCUAUUUCUAGCAUCCAAACCAACAUACGAGCAGGACAACGGAACACAACAAUCUACUAAACAGAACAGAGCAGCAUACGAGCAGUACGAGCAGAACAGAAUCGCACGCUAAGAGAAUUCAUCCAACAUGUCCAAACAGAACAGACUGGAAAACACAGACAUUGAAGCAUGAAAAUGAAACAGAACACAAGUAACAGAGUAAGAUCCAAUCUAACUAAAAACACACAUGACAGGGGAGACAAAAAUGAACCUGUUGAAGCUUAAGAUUUCGAUAGAACAGAAGAUUCAGGGUAUACAAAGCUUUUACUCCAAAUUCCAGCAAAAUAACAGCAAUAUCGCGACUAGUAGCAGGACAAAACAGCAACAAAAAUGGAUUUGGAACCACGAACAAGAACCUCACGAGCAGUCAACGGACAUCAGCUAAACUCCAUUCUUGUUAAACAAAUCAGAAGCUAUUAUAUAUUUUUUUUUAUUUUUUGUUUUAAAUAUGAAAGUAAGACUCAAAGAGAACUCUAAAAUGUUAUGCCCAAUCGACUGAAAAUUGGAAGGAAGAAAGUAAAAAACUCAGAAAAACCCUAGCCCUCUUGUUUUCCGAACUCUCUCUUCUCUGAUUUUCUCCUCCUUUUUUUGGUCCAAAAAUCCCAAAUAUAUAGGGAUCCUAGAAGCUUCUUUAUCUUCUCCUCCAAGAAAUUCCGAAAAAAACGAAUCCUUCAAAAUCCCCAAAUCCGUUUGUUGAAGCAAGUAAGGGACAAAUGGAGGGAGUAGAUCGAGCUAGAACUAAAUCCUACGCUCACCAUUCAUCCUCCCUCGCCUUAACUGAUCGUGUGAGCGAAGAGCGCAUGAGAGGGAUGGUAUCUUCAUGUCAGAGGUCGUUAUGGUCUUGAUGACGUGGAAGAAGGAAAGGAGAGGAGGGGGACCAUGAGUUAACUCGUGAGCGAGGCUUUUGGUGGUCUUACCAUGGCUGAAGCGCGGCUGGGAUGGGGUGAAGAGGGGGCGCCGUUUGGGUGGUGUUACAUUAGGGUAGGGUUUGGAAAUAUUAGGUUUUUAUAUUAAGGUGAGGAUAUAUCUUGGCCAUUGGAUGGGAAAUAGAUGAAAGACUAGGAUUAAACCAAAGAGGGAGAUGGGUCAGACGGGUUAUGGGGCGGGUCAUGGGUUGGAUCCGGUCGGGUAUUGGGUUGGUUUGGGUUGUCCGAUUUUGGGCUUCCUUUUGUGUAGAAAUGAGGCUUCAAAUUUGUACUUCUUCAAUUUUUAAAGUUCAUUAAAUAACAAACUCAAUCUUUUAGAUUAAAACUAAAGUAAUUUCGAUUAAUUAAAUAAACUAUAUGAUAAUAUGAAACUAUAUAUAUAUUUUUUAAUAUAUCAUGUUUUAUAUAAAUUAAAAAUAAGAGUGAAAAUCAUAGUAAAAACAAAAGAUAUGGCUAUAAAAUAAAUAGAAAUAAAGUAAAACAUGAAUAUAUAUAUAUAUAUAUAUUUAGUUUUUUGUGCCUUAAAAAUAGAAUUAAAAUUAAUAAUAAAGUAAAAUCCUAUAAAAAUAAACUCAAAUAAAUAUCCUAAAAGUAUUAGGAUUAUUAGAGGUGAUUCUAAUGCGUGGGUCAAAAAUUACAUAUCUACGGCUGCCCCUCUUUGACGGGAAACAUAAAGUGUUUUCAGACAAAGAACCACAAGACAUGUUUUUUGACCCGACCCUUAUUUAAAGAGACAAAAACUAAAGAAAAAAAGAAUGUGACUGAGCCCUGGUAUCUGAGCUGCCUACAUAUUCUUGGUUAUAAAGGAAUCAUGCCACGUGUAGUUCGGAGUGAGAAGAGCGAUGGAGUAUACCGAGGUGGAGAGCCGAGUGAAGUGCCGUCAAGGUUCCGGUCCACGGUUCCUGCCAUUACAUCAAAAGUAAAAGGAAAAAUUACAGCAAAAGUAAAAGAAAAGUACAAGAUCCUAUAUACUUCUUGUCUUGAAUCUUCCUUGAAUCUCUACUUGAUCUUCAAUAUGAAACUAAAAAAUGGACCCAGUUCUCUAGGCGGGCUCCUGAUGCUUCUUAAAUUUGCGAAUUGAAGUAACUCUAAAAUGAACUCCCUUGUUCUCCAGGUGGGUGCCUGAUUGCCAAAAUUUGAAUUGUAUUCCUAUGUUAUCCAGGUGGGCGCCUGAUUGCCAAAACUUGAAAUGCAGCCAAAACUUGAAAUGCAUUCCCUUGUUCUCCAGGUGGGCGCCUGAUUUCCAAAACUUGAAUUGUAUUCCCNNNNNNNNNNNNNNNNNNNNNNNNNNNNNNNNNNNNNNNNNNNNNNNNNNNNNNNNNNNNNNNNNNNNNNNNNNNNNNNNNNNNNNNNNNNNNNNNNNNNNNNNNNNNNNNNNNNNNNNNNNNNNNNNNNNNNNNNNNNNNNNNNNNNNNNNNNNNNNNNNNNNNNNNNNNNNNNNNNNNNNNNNNNNNNNNNNNNNNNNNNNNNNNNNNNNNNNNNNNNNNNNNNNNNNNNNNNNNNNNNNNNNNNNNNNNNNNNNNNNNNNNNNNNNNNNNNNNNNNNNNNNNNNNNNNNNNNNNNNNNNNNNNNNNNNNNNNNNNNNNNNNNNNNNNNNNNNNNNNNNNNNNNNNNNNNNNNNNNNNNNNNNNNNNNNNNNNNNNNNNNNNNNNNNNNNNNNNNNNNNNNNNNNNNNNNNNNNNNNNNNNNNNNNNNNNNNNNNNNNNNNNNNNNNNNNNNNNNNNNNNNNNNNNNNNNNNNNNNNNNNNNNNNNNNNNNNNNNNNNNNNNNNNNNNNNNNNNNNNNNNNNNNNNNNNNNNNNNNNNNNNNNNNNNNNNNNNNNNNNNNNNNNNNNNNNNNNNNNNNNNNNNNNNNNNNNNNNNNNNNNNNNNNNNNNNNNNNNNNNNNNNNNNNNNNNNNNNNNNNNNNNNNNNNNNNNNNNNNNNNNNNNNNNNNNNNNNNNNNNNNNNNNNNNNNNNNNNNNNNNNNNNNNNNNNNNNNNNNNNNNNNNNNNNNNNNNNNNNNNNNNNNNNNNNNNNNNNNNNNNNNNNNNNNNNNNNNNNNNNNNNNNNNNNNNNNNNNNNNNNNNNNNNNNNNNNNNNNNNNNNNNNNNNNNNNNNNNNNNNNNNNNNNNNNNNNNNNNNNNNNNNNNNNNNNNNNNNNNNNNNNNNNNNNNNNNNNNNNNNNNNNNNNNNNNNNNNNNNNNNNNNNNNNNNNNNNNNNNNNNNNNNNNNNNNNNNNNNNNNNNNNNNNNNNNNNNNNNNNNNNNNNNNNNNNNNNNNNNNNNNNNNNNNNNNNAAUUUUAAAUUAAAUCCCAUUAUCCAGAAGGGUCCUGAGAACUUUUAAAAAAUUAAAUCCUAUUAUCUAGGAGGGUCCUGAGAACUUUUAAAAAAAUUAAAUCCCAUUAUCCAGGAGGGUCCUGAAGAGCCGAGAAUGAACUUACCUGAGCCAUGUUCUCGUCUUGGAGGAUUCUGAACAGAAUUUCUUGCCCCUGAACCAUGCCUUUUUCAUAGGAGGUCCCUGUGGAUUGACGAAUUUUCUUGCCCCUGCUUUAGAAAAAUAAAAUCUUGUUAGUUUGAAAACGUGGUGGUUAGUUUGUGGCAUCAGUGCUGAGCGUUUACUUCUGCCACUGCCAUGCUUCAUUCUGAUUAGCUACUUCGGGCCAGCAAGGAGUUGUUUGACCUUUUGGUUGGAACUGGACCACAAAACCACUGAAUGACCUGAAUCUCUCACACUCACUUGUUGUAUUGUGUUUUCAUUUUGAAAGUUGUUGCAUCCUUGUAUUUUCUCAAAAUUCAAGAUUCAAAUGAUUGCAUGAACCUCAGUUAUCACCAUACUUCUCAUUCUAAAUCAUGUCAAUUGUGAUAUGCCUGGCCGAACUCCGCUUUGUGCAAUUUAGAAGCUGGUAGUAGGCUUUGGAAUCCUUUCCUGCUUGUUCAACAAGGCUAACUCGAAAAAGACUCAUAAAGAUAGACUCAAAGAGUACGGUGAAAUGACUUUUGGAAGAAGGAAUCAAAGGAAAAUUUUGAACACGGAUGACUAUGUGAAGAAGAAUGGGAAAAGAAGACUUAUUUGAGUGAAGCGGCUAGCUCCAAUGAUCAUGACAUGCAUUUCGGAUUGAUCAGCCUAAUCCGUCCAACCAAUCAUAUUUCAGUUCAAGUCGUGUCUUCAUACCUCAAAAAUCGGGCUUUCACUGAUCCAAUUCCUCUGUAGAGUCAUGAGUCUCAUUCGACUUGUAGUGCCCUGAAGGGUUUUCACCAACAAGCCUCUCUCAUUUGUUCAUCUCUCAACUCACCAUCGCCUUAUGGUGCCUGCAAGGGUUUUCACCAAUAAGACUCUCUCAUUUUAAAUUUUCUCUCAGCUUACCAUCGCCUUACGGUGCCCGUGAGGGUUUUCACUAAUAAGACUCUCGCAUUUUAAAUUUUCUCUCUUGUGCCCAUGAACAAAGUGUUACCCAUAAUGUAAAUCAUACCUCUAUCUCGCUUGACAUGGCAUCCUCAAAGAUUGAUCGGAAGGUCUUUCUUUGGACUGUAAUGUGGGCUUUUGGACAAUGGUAGAAAGAAAGGGUGGCAUGAAGGCUCAAAAAAAUUUACAAUGAAAAGGGGUCAAAAUUACAACUUUUGGAAUCAGAUCUUUUCAAAACUAAAACUUCUGCCCCAGUUUCUUUGAGUCUGGGGAAUUUUAAUUUUUAUUUUGAUGGGACUGAACCGUAAGGCUGCCUGCGUAUCCUUAAAAGGAAUCAAGUCGAACGUAGUUCAAAAAAAAGUUGUUUGUUUUUGUUCCUUUUUUCUUUUUUUUUCUUUCUUUUCUAUCUCUUUUUUUCUUUUCUUUUUCCUUCUUUUUUUUCAUUUUUCUUAUUUUUCAUUUAUUUUUCAUCAUUUCAUUUUUUUUCUAAUUCUGCUACUGAUUCCAAAAGAGGGAUAUGAAAGAAAAUAAAUAAGGCUCAAAAGGGGGUAGCAAAGGAUGAAAGUAUUUGGGUAGCAGAACAAAAUGCCUUCGUCAUUUCAACUUUGAACAUGUCAAGUACAAAAUACAAUUGAAGGUAAGCAAAGAAAUCAUACAUAGUACCUCUUAAUUGCAUCAGAAUUGAUAGUCAUAUCUACAUAUUUGUAUUCUAUGUCCGUUAAAUACAAAGCACCAUUGGACAACACUCUUGUCACAACGAAUGGCCCCUGCCAGUUUGGGGCGAACUUGCCUUUAGCUUCCACCUGAUGAGGAAGGAUGCAUUUCAAUACCAUCUGGCCCGCUUCGAAUUUCCGAGGACGCACCUUUUUGUUGUAUGCUCUUGCCAUUCUCUUCUGAUACAAUUGACCAUGACAUACUGCAUCCAAUCUUUUCUCAUCAAUCAAACUCAACUGCUCGAGCCGGGUUUUGGCCCACUCAUCAUCAUCAAUUUCAGCUUCUGCAACGAUCCGAAGGGAUGAAAUCUCAACUUCCGCAAGUAUAACUGCCGCAGUUCUAUAUACCAGCAAAUAAGGAGUUGCUCCUACUGAAGUGCGAACAGUAGUGUGAUAACCCAGUAAGGCGAAAGACAACUUUUCAUGCCAUUGCCUAGAACCUUGCACCAUCUUACGAAGUAUCUUCUUUAUGUUCUUGUUAGCAGCCUCAACAGCUCCAUUUGCCUUGGGGCGAUACAGAGUGGAGUUUCGAUGAAUGAUCUUGAACUAUUGGCAUACCUCUUUCAUCAAAUGACUAUUGAGAUUAGCAGCAUUGUCUAUGAUGAUCACCUUAGGAAUUCCGAACCGACAAAGGAUAUUUGCAUGAACAAAAUCCACCACUGCCUUCUUGGUCACAGACUUGAAAGUUGCAGCUUCGACCCACUAGGUAAAGUAAUCAAUGGCCACCAGAAUAAACCUAUGCCCGUUCGAUGUUGCCGGCUCAAUUGGUCCAAUGACAUCCAUGCCCCAAGCAAUAAAGGGCCAAGGUGCAGACAUUGUAUGUAACUCAAAUGGGGGAGAAUGAAUCAAAUCACCGUGUACCUAGCAUUGAUGACAUUUGCGAACAAAACUGAUACAAUCUCGUUCCAUGGUGAGCCAAUAAUAACCUGCUCGAAGUAUCUUCUUUGCCAACACGUGCCCAUUCAUAUGCGGCCCGCAAACUCCAAAAUACACUUCGGCCAUGAUAGUUGAAGCUUCUUUAGCAUCUAUACACCUCAACAGUCCUAAAUCUGGAGUCCUCUUGUAUAAGAUUCCUCCACUCAAGAAAAAUCCACUAGCCAGGAGUCGAAUGGUUCUCUUUUGGUCACUUGUAGCAUGUAUUGGAUAUACCCCCAACCUGAUGUAUUCCUUGAUAUCAUGGAACCAAGGUUCGCCAUCGAUUUCCUCUUCCACCAUAUUACAAUAAGCAUGUUUAUCACAAAUAUGCACGGGGUCGAUAUAAGCCUUGUUCGGAUGAUGUAACAUUGAUGCCAAAGUAGCCAAGGCAUCAACAAUCUCAUUAUGAAUCCUGGGAAUAUAUCUGAAUUUUACCGACCUGAAUCAUUGACAAAGAUCAUGCGGACACUGUCGAUACGGUAUAAGCUUCAGGUCCCGCGUCACCCAUUCUCCUUGAAUUUGAUGAACCAACAAAUCUGAAUCUCCCAGAACUAGUAUUUCCUAGACUCCCAUGUCUACAACUAACCUCAAACCCAGAAUGCAUGCUUCGUACUUGGCCAUGUUGUUGGUUCAAUGAAAUCGAAGCUGGGCUGUUAUAGGGUAGUGUUGCCCUAUUUCAGAGAUAAGUACAGCCCCUAUUUUGAGAUCUUUCAUUUUAGCAACUCCAUUAAAGAAGAGUUUCCAACCUGGCUUUUCAUCACGGUCAACCUCGUCAACACACAUGACCUCUUCAUCAGGAAAAUAAGUCUUCAGUGGUUUAUAUUCAUCAUCCACCGGAUUCUCGGCCAAGUGGUCGGCCAAGGCUUGGGCUUUCAUCGCGGUCCGAGUCACAUAGAUGAUGUCAAACUUUGUAAGUAAAAUCUGCCACUUUGCAAGUCUUCCCGUGGGCAUAGACUUCUGAAAGAUAUACUUUAGAGGAUUCAUGCGAGAAAUGAGAUAAGUCAUGUAGGACAACAUAUAAUGCUUCAACUUUUGUGUCACCCAAAUCAGGGCGCAACAUGUCCUCUCAAGCAGAGUGUACUUAACCUCAUAGGGAGUGAACUUCUUACUGAGAUAAUAGAUUGCUUGGUCCUUCUUUCCCAUGAUGUCAUGUUGACCUAAUACACAGCCAAAAGAAUUAUCCAAGACUGUCAAAUAGAGAAUCAAAGGUCUUUUAGGCUCUGGUGGGACCAGUACAGGUGGGUUUGACAGGUACCUCUUAAUCUUAUCAAAAGCUUCUUGACACUCGUCAGCCUACUUGAUUGCAACAUUCUUCUUCAGCAGCUUAAAGAUAGGCUCACAGGUUGUCGUGAGCUGAGCAAUAAACCUGCUGAUGUAAUUUAACCUUCCAAGAAGGCUCAUCACCUCUGUUUUGUUCUUUGGCGGUGGUAACUCUUGAAUGGCUUUGAUCUUCGAUGCAUCUAACUCAAUGCCGCAUCUACUAACCACGAAUCCCAGUAGCUUCCCCGACGGGACACCAAAUGCACACUUCGCUGGAUUGAGCUUGAGGUUGUACCUGCGGAGCCUUUGGAAAAACUUCCUCAAGUCCUUGACAUGGUUAGACUGCUUUUUUAACUUUAUGAUCACAUCAUCUACAUAAACCUCAAUCUCCCUGUGUAUCAUGUCAUGAAAUAUGGUGGUCAUCGCCCUCAUAUAAGUUGCCCAAGCAUUUUUCAAACCAAAUGGCAUUACCUGAUGACAAUAUGUUCCCCAUGGCGUGAUGAAUACUGUCUUUUCUGCAUCUUCCUCAUCCAUCAAGAUCUGGUGAUAUCCCGCGUAAUAAUCCACAAAAGACCCAAUUUCAUGUUUGGCACAAUUAUCGAUCAGAAUGUGAAUGUUUGGCAAUGGAAAAUUAUCCUUUGGGCUUGCUUUGUUAAGAUCACGGUAAUCAACACAUACCCUGGUCCUACCAUCCUUCUUUGAUACUGGCACAACAUUAGCUAACCAAGUGGGAUAUCGAGUGACCCGAAUGACCUUUGCAGUAAGUUGCUUUGUGAUUUCUUCUUUGAUCUUCACACUCAUAUCAGUCUUGAACUUUCACAACUUUUGCUUGACAUGAGAGAAUAAUGGAUUCGUGGGCAAUUUAUGAACCACCAGAUCAGUGUUCAGGCCCGGCAUAUCGUCAUAUGACCAUGCAAAGACAUCUUUGUACUCAAACAAUGUUUUGAUUAUUUCAUCCUUAACUUGCAGCUCCAAAUGCACACUUAUCUUGAUUUCCCUAACAUCAUCUGGUCCCCUAAAUUGAUUGCUUCAGUUUCACUCAAAUUAGGCUUUGGUUUUUCUUCAAAUUGUUUUAGCUCUUUACUAAUUUCCUCAAAUUCUGCUUCUUCAUCAUAUUCUAUUUCAUCAUCAUAUUCUACUUCUUGGAUUAUUUUUUAGAAUUUGAUUGGCUUUUUAAGACUCGGUUGAAAAUUCUUCAUGCAUGUCAUGUCAUUGCAACCAGCAUAAAAAGAACUGUACAAAAGAAAAAAGAAUAAAAUAAAACACUAUUAGGAAUAACGGAAAACGGAAAAUUGCAUUUCAUUGAAAAUAAAAGGAUAGAAGGAUUUGAACAUCAAAACAAGCAAAAAAUAAAAAUCUUGAUUACAACUCUGGAAUAACCCAGACAACAGAAAGGAAAACAAAGUAAACUACCAAAACUCCUUCCUAGUGGGGAGAGGAGUAGAUUCCCAAUUGCUAAGCUUCACGUUUGGGCCAACGAGCUGCACAUCUGCUUUACUAGAACCUUCACCAACUUCUACCAUAUUGACAUCAUCGAACAGACUCUGGAACCUCUUGAUUAGCUCUUCAUCAACAUCGACCAUAGGUUUUGGGAUUGAGGAGGUUGGAGGUUUUUCGGCCCCUGGCUUGACAAAAGACUUGGAGAUGUGCGAGACGGGUUUAGAGAGUGACCAUACCUUCUAUUUCAGAUUUUUAACCCUUUUCACGUUCUUCCCUGUGGGCAUGAAUCCCAAACCAAACGUACCAGGAUUCCCACUAGGGCGCACUGGAUGCACUAUACCCUACAGAGAUGAGCCCAGACCCUUGCCCGACACAAAACCAUUCUUCAACAUUUCAUUCACUACCAUAACAGAUGCGGAGGAUAGCUUAGGACCCGGAAUGCAUUUUCCUUCAGGAAUCUUCUCAACGGACAUUGUUUCGAAAGCUUGAUAGACCCAGGGUCCCUUAUCAUCUUCAGCUUCGAUAAACGAAACAAUUGUGUCAUUACAAGCUAACAGGUCCUCAUCAUCGUGCAUAACUAUUUCCUGCCUGUCCCAUUUGAACUUUACCAUUUGGUGGAGAGAAGAUGAGACUGCGUUAGUGUAGACACUUGAUUUUUGACCCUCCCCUGGAAUUUUUACAUUUUUAGCUUAAAUAUUUAAUUUAGAUCUAAUAUAGCUAUUUUGACUAUUUUUACUUUAUUUCGUUGCAAAAGGAAAAAAUACAAAUAUAUAUAUAUAAAUUUUGGUUUAUGUAUUUCUCAUAAACUUGAAAAAAAUACAAAAAUUGCACUUUAUUUUUUGUACUUUAUAUAAUUUCGAAAAUUACCAAAAAAAUACAGUUCUAUUAAUGUUUUGUAGUCAUUUUAAUUUUGAAAAAUACAAAAAAUAUUACUUAAUAUUUUAUCUUUAUAUUAAAAAACGAAAAUUACAAAAAUAGUUUUAUUAAUGUUUUGUAGUUAUUUUAAUCUCGAAAAAAUAUUAAAAAAUAAUAAUAUAGUUUUGUUUUAAAUAAUUAGUCUUAUUUUAGUAGCUACUUUGCUUACAUAAUCAGUUGAGCAACGUCGUGUUCCUAUUUCUCGGAUCCGGGCAAAAGAAUAAUAUUCGGGUUCAAACUACCCGGUUUUAGGCCUAAUUUUCGGACCUAGCCCAUAAUAAUCCGGGUCCACCACACGUGGGGGACAUGCGUGGGGAACACGGACGGAACACCGUACACGGGGAACCCCACCGCGCAUGGGGGACACAAACCUUGGACCCCUACAUACGUGGGGUCCACUUUUCUUGGCCAAAGCUACAAAUGCACGGACUUGGACAUUUUCAAAGGGACCAACGAACGGACUUGAAAAAUUUGGAAAAGAGAGGCACUGUUCAUCUUUCUUCUUCAAAAAGAAGAAGAAAACCAAAACAAAAACCCUACUGCAAAAAAACCUACCAGCCCCUACUCCCUCGACACUACCCGCUACCAGCAAACCACCCAAGCACCACCUCCAUCGACACACCACAAACGACGCCCAGCUCCUCCGAACAUUCACCAUCGUCGUCACCCCUCCGAACUUCCCCACCCCCGUGAAACCACCAUAGUUGCUCCUUCCUCAAGCCAAACGACCCCCCACGCCUCAGCUGCUAUCAAGCAGCAGCUACUGCUGCAUCGUCCAAACACCACCACCCAAACACCUAUCCAAACUACCAGCCCAGCUUCAUCACCCCCGUCGUAACCCAAAAACCAGUCGCGAUGCCCCCCUCACGUCCGAACGACCAUCGCCUUCUUCCUCCAUUAAAUCUGACGAGCACUGCUGCUUCGCCUUCGUCGUCACUGCCCCCAGCUUCACUCCCUCAUCAUCAAACAACCUACCCCCCAGCCAACAAGCCCUGCUGCCCGUCGACCCUACCUCUGUCACCAUUGUUGCGCCGUUCGAGCAGCAGCCAUUGCUGUUGUUGUUCGUGUUCAUCACACUCGUCGACCACUCUCCGAACAACCACCCCUUCUCCUCCAAUCUCCAUCGCAAACAGGCGAUUAUCCAGUCGUCACUCGCGUGCCCAGUGACCGCUGUUUUUUCGCUGUCGUCGCGCAGUCCGUCUGAGGUCGUCGUUGGUAUGUGCUCGUGGCUUCCGGUCUGAUAUCGUUGAGCUUGACAUCGAGGUUCCGUCGUUGGAGAGGUUUCCGACAGUUGUCGGUCCAGUUGGUUGUCGUUCGUGCUUCAAAGUUCAAACAGGUGCAUACGCAUUUCUAAACUUGUGAUAUUUGCUUAAAUGGAAUGAAAUGAUAUGGAUUUCCUAUGCACUGUUUGUGUAUCGGCUUGGUUGAAUUUCUCUUCAUUUUUACCAUGGAUAUUAUUACCAUUUUUUACCAUGGAUAUUAUUACUNNNNNNNNNNNNNNNNNNNNNNNNNNNNNNNNNNNNNNNNNNNNNNNNNNNNNNNNNNNNNNNNNNNNNNNNNNNNNNNNNNNNNNNNNNNNNNNNNNNNNNNNNNNNNNNNNNNNNNNNNNNNNNNNNNNNNNNNNNNNNNNNNNNNNNNNNNNNNNNNNNNNNNNNNNNNNNNNNNNNNNNNNNNNNNNNNNNNNNNNNNNNNNNNNNNNNNNNNNNNNNNNNNNNNNNNNNNNNNNNNNNNNNNNNNNNNNNNNNNNNNNNNNNNNNNNNNNNNNNNNNNNNNNNNNNNNNNNNNNNNNNNNNNNNNNNNNNNNNNNNNNNNNNNNNNNNNNNNNNNNNNNNNNNNNNNNNNNNNNNNNNNNNNNNNNNNNNNNNNNNNNNNNNNNNNNNNNNNNNNNNNNNNNNNNNNNNNNNNNNNNNNNNNNNNNNNNNNNNNNNNNNNNNNNNNNNNNNNNNNNNNNNNNNNNNNNNNNNNNNNNNNNNNNNNNNNNNNNNNNNNNNNNNNNNNNNNNNNNNNNNNNNNNNNNNNNNNNNNNNNNNNNNNNNNNNNNNNNNNNNNNNNNNNNNNNNNNNNNNNNNNNNNNNNNNNNNNNNNNNNNNNNNNNNNNNNNNNNNNNNNNNNNNNNNNNNNNNNNNNNNNNNNNNNNNNNNNNNNNNNNNNNNNNNNNNNNNNNNNNNNNNNNNNNNNNNNNNNNNNNNNNNNNNNNNNNNNNNNNNNNNNNNNNNNNNNNNNNNNNNNNNNNNNNNNNNNNNNNNNNNNNNNNNNNNNNNNNNNNNNNNNNNNNNNNNNNNNNNNNNNNNNNNNNNNNNNNNGUCCAAUGACAUGUUUUAAGCGAUGUUCACAUUCUUAAUAAUAAUAAUUAUGAAAGCGGUAAAAAGUUAAAAUUUGCACAUAAGUUCAUAUUUGUAUAAAAUCAUAUAAUCAAGCCGAAUAUAACAGUUGAGAAACCGUGCUAGAACCACGGAACUCGGGUAUGCCUAACACCUUCUCCCGGGUUAACAGAAUUCCUUAUCCAGAUUUCUGGUACGCAGACUGUAAUAUGGAGUCAUUCUUUUCCUCGAUUCGGGAUUAAAAUUGGUGAAUUGGGACACCCUAAAUUUCCCAAGUGGCGACUCUGAAAUAAAUAAAUAAAUCCCGUUUCGAUUGUCAUUUAAUUGGAAAAAACUCCUUUGCACCCUCGCGGGUGCGUAAAAAGGAGGUGUGACAGUUAGCAGCAUGUAUCCAGGGCCUGCCCAAUAACAAAUUGUAGGAGACAGCCAUAUCUAACACUUGGAAUUCCAUGGUGAACUCAACUAGCCCUAUCGACAAUUCGAGCACUAUAUCUCCAACAGAAUCUUUACCUCCCCCAUCAAAGCCUCGAACACACAUACUGUUCAUGUGGAUUCUUUCAGUGCCAAUCUUCAAUUUUUGCAGAGUAAACAGGGGACAAAUAUUCACACUAGAGCCAUUGUCAACCAAAACCUUUGAGACGACAAAAUCUUCACACUUCACCGUGAGAUAAAGAGCUCGGUUGUGUUUUGUACCCUCCAUAGGAAGUUCAUCAUUUGAGAAAGUGAUCAUGUUUACUUCGAAGAUCUUGCCAGCUAUCUUUCCAGGUGAUUUAAUGUGAUCUUAUCAGGAACAUGUGCCUCAUUCAAAAUCUUCAUCAGGACCCUGCGAUGUUCGUCUGAAUGUAUCAGCAAAGACAAAAGAGAAAUCUAAGAUGGUGUUUUCCUUAACUACUCCACAAUGGAAUAAUCCUGCACUUUCAUCUUUUUAAGGAACUCAUCAACCUCUUCUUCGGCGACCGAUUUCUUUACUGGCAUUUGGCUAUCCUUGAAUGGCUUGGCUUUCCUUAAUCUUCUUCUAGGGUGAAACAUAUCCCAGAACGAGUCAAUAUUCCAGCUUCAUUAGCUUCUUCCUCUAUUUCUUUUCCUUUGUAUGUCACCAUCAGUCAUUUGUAAUUCCACGGAACAGCCUUGGCAUCAACCAUUGGCAACUGGGUCACUGGUUUAAUGAUGAUAGGGGUAAUACGAGCCUCUUUCACAACUAUGACAGGCUUACUUGGAAUCCCUGGCACUACCACUUUUGAGCUUUCUAGACUUUCCCCAAUAUCCUUCGACAGCCCUUUCACGACCAACACCGGCGGCUUCAAAUUGAGCGAGCUCGGCUUUUCUGUCGCCCCUUCAACUAUCAAAGGCUUUGCUUUGGUAGAGUCUGGAGCUUUAACCAAAUUACUUUCACUGGCCCGAAUCAUCAUGACGGACUUAGAAGGCUUCUUGGGCUCCCCAUCCUUGUGAACUAUUUCAAUCAUAUGCGUCUCUGCAUGGGCUGGCAAAGGGUUUUGGUUGAUAUUUGGCGUGUCUGGGCUUUGGACUACGAUUUGGUUUGUAUCAAUGAGAUCCUGGAUUGCCGUUUUCAAAUACCUGCACUUCUCUAUGUCAUGCCCUGGAGCAUCAGAAUAAUAGACACAUCUUAGGGAAUAAUCGAGGUUCUUUGGAGGGGGAUUUGAUAUCUUUGACUCAAUCGGCCUCAGGACAUCCAACUGCCUUAACCUUGAAACAGACUAGCAUAGGACUCCCCAAGCGGGGUAAAAGUUUGUUUCUGUUGUUGCCUCUCUCUUCUAUACUCUGGCCUUGGUUGAAAAUUUGAACCAUUGGGAUUUUGGUAGGGUUGCGAAGGUGGAUAGGUGUUUUGUAGAGCUGGGUAGAUAUUCUGUGGGGCUGGGGCACGCCAUUGUGGGUAAGGAGGGGGUUGAGCAUAUGACUAUGCAUGAUGAACAAGGUAUUGGGAUGGCCUAGCUGAGUAUUAGGGGUUUUGCGGGGAAAAGUAAUAUUGUGGUGGAUUAUAUGGAGCUUGGGCAUAGGUUUGAGGUCAGGGUCGAGGAUGGGUGUACUGAUGAGGUGAACCCCUUUGGCCAUGCCAUGGUCUAGAGACAACCAUGGCAACAUCGUCCUUCUUCUUCUUGCCUAACAAACUCCCGGUACCACUCUGGAUUGCCUGGGUGGUUGCUUUUAUAGCAGAAUAGCUCAUGAUCUUGCUCGACUUGAGCCCCUCUUCCACCAUUUCUCCCAUCUUUACCACAUCAUUGAAAGACUUACCAAUGGCUGACAUCAAAUGGCCAUAGUAAGUGGGCUCCAAGGCUUAAAGAAAGUAUUCAACCAUCUCGUCUUCUUCCAUCGGAGGAUUGACUCGUGCAGCUUGCUCCCUCCAUCGGAACCCAUAUUCUCUAAAUCUUUCACCGGGUUCCACCUUGGUCAAAGAUAGGCGGUCUAGAACAAUGUCUAUAUUGUACUGAAAGUGCCAGGCGAAGGCUUGAGCCAUAUCGUCCCAGAUGUACCACCUGCUAGUGUCCUGGCGGGUGUACCAUUCUAAAGCUGCCUCACUCAGACUUUGGCUGAAGUAUGCCAUCAGUAAUUCAUAUUUUCCCCCGGCGCCUCUCAUUUUACUACAAUAACCCCUCAGAUGAGCUACAUGAUCCCCAUGUUCGUCGUACAAGUCAAACUUGGGCAUCUUGAACCCGGCAGGCAGUUAGACAUCAGGGAACAAACACAAAUCCUUAUAGGCCACACUCGCCUGGUUUACCAACCCUUGCAUAUUUCUCAAUGAUUUCUCUAGACUCUUUACCUUCCUAAACAUCUCCUCUUGCUCUACGUUCUUGGGUGGUUUGUCAGUUUCAACAUGAGGCUCAAAUUGGGAGGUGUAAGAGUAAGGAUCUGGGACUUUGAAUGUGGUCUCCAAUGCAUAGUAGUGGGCAUCGGGAGCGGGGAAUGCGGGCUCACUAGAGGAUCGGUGGAGGGUAGCUGGUGGAGGGGGUACAAAAAUAGGAGCAGAUGUCAGAGCAAGGUACGAGGUUGUUUUGGCUGGUGGAGCAUGAAAGGUUUGGGCCGAAGUGCCGGGGUAGUUGUGGUAAGGGGUAAAUCCAUGUGCGUGUUAUGGGGAAAGAUCAAUGGUAUUGGGCAUCUGGGAUUGAGAGAGUAGUGGCAUGGAAGCAGGGUUUUCUGUGUAGUUGGUGGGGAACGAGGGUGGAGGGUGUCCCUUAAUCCAGGCCUGAUACAUUUCCGCCAUCUGAUGUUUCAGCCUUCAGACAUCCUCUUGCAGUUCUGAUUCCGACUCAACAAUCUCCCUUGGUGGGUCUACAACUCUAGUGUCUGUUUCCUUGCUAGCCAUGAUUGUUUGAUGCUUUGAUCAGGUGUUGUAUGGAUGACUUGCCAGGAUGCCAACAAACUAACCACCUUCAUGUUAUUAAAUAAAGAUGACAAAGGACAACAACACAAAACCACCAUGUUAGCAUUAGGGAAUUUAUCAAAUAAUAAUAUCACAUUACGUGCAAUGCACCUAGCAACAAUUAGCGGUUCUAAAAUGGCUUUGAGGGUCGCAAGAUCAUAUGGUAUCAUCCCAAUUUGCUCAGUUCCAUCCUUCAUUCUCUUUCUUUUCCAACACCUCUUAUCACUCUUUUCUCUUUUUUAUUUCUUUUUUUCUCUUUUUUUUUCUUUUUUUCUUUUGCAAAAUGAUUUGAUCGAACCAGAUGUAGGUUGCUUAUGUAUCAUGUCCCUUAUGAAUCAAACCGAGCGUAGUUCUGGAAAAGUGAUGGAAAAUAAACUAGAAAUAAAAUAUUUUUGGGAUUUUUCAUUUAAAAACUUUUCGAUAUUAAAAUACAUUAGGAAGUACGAUAAUGCAAGACAUGACAGACUCAACUAUACUACGACAGACUUUGAAACUACCUAAAGGACUCAGUAUUUCUAGACAAGACACGAAAGUAAAAGACAACAUAAGACAAUGUCAAAACACCUAAAUAGAAUGACCCCUCAAGCUGCUCCUGAAUGCGACGGUCCUGGCUAGGAUGGUCCUGGGCUGUCCGUCAUGUUCAAACCCUGUAACAUGCCUCGUAAAGAAACACCGAUGCUGGGAAUAAAGGCCUUGGCGUGUGCCCCCACAUCCUGAAGGCCAACCUUAAACAAAUACUGGCUAUGCUGCUCCACGUUUGCUGCCAAUCCCGCUAACUGAGACUUUAUCAACUCAAGCUUAUCCCAAGGAUCUUGGUCUGAUGCCUCCUCAAAUCAUCUGUCUGAACUGCUCGACCCCUAAGUUGUGCUGGCAAUGGGGUGCUGACCCUUGGUGGGACGGACUGUAACCAAAUCAGGUACUCCUGAGUACACUCGGGCCUGUCAACGUCCUCUACUAAUGUAUUUUUCUUCAUCCUCUUUGCAUUGUUCCAGUAUUGCACGUACUUGAUUUCGUCAUCCGCCUUUUUGCUCGAUACAACUCUGCUAAGAUCAUUGGCACAACGGUAAGGGUUUUUUGUUGCUUCUCAUGAAAUAGUGCCAUUACCACUGACUGCAGACGGGUGCUAAUGUGCCUCUCAUCUAAUGGAAAAACCAAUAAUCCCAACAAAGCAAGGCUGAAAGCUUCGAGGCGACGUCUUUGCCACUUUGCCUUGGUUGUGCAGAACUCAUCCCAAAAGACGUCAAAACUAUCAUGUGGUCCAAAUCUAGCAAACAAAUAAUCCAAGGAUAUCCAGGACUGCUCGAGGCAUUUUAAAUGCUUGUUAUCUUUCAGUCCCAGGUCACUGAGGAAUCUUGUCCUAGAAUGGUCUCGGAGAAGUAUCAUGUCCUUGCCUAUAUAGCUUAAACGAGUGAGACCAGACAUUUCUGCCAAGGUAGGGGUCAUCUCACACUCUCCAAAUCUGAAAAUCAAAUUUUGCGGAUCCCAAUAAGUCAGCACCGCCUCCACUAAGUCUGGGCGAGGUGUGAUAUCAAGAAGGGAAGUGAGGGUGCCCAAUUUCUGCAUUAACUCAUGCUGCUCUAACAACGAAAACGUUUUCCACCACUUGAUUAAUUUCCUAGGAAUCUUUACUACCAUCAACACUUUGGAUCGAAUUAGCGGGUCCAUACCUGAAUGAAGAAAACAUGGUUAGCGACUUGGGACACUACGUGACACCACAACGUUUCCUAGUGGACAAAUGUAAGACACGAUUUGGCUAUAUUUUGCAAAAUGGUCUAAGUGGCUGAAAGUGGCUAUUAGUGCAAACUUGACAAAGUUGACCCCUAAUGCAUGAAAAAUACUCCAUUUAAAGCUUACAUGACUCCAACAUCCCAACUAUCAUGGCCUUAAAAAAUACUUUGCGGAAAUGGCCCAUUUUGCAAAAAUGGCCGAUAUGGCCAAAUGUGGCUAGGGACGCAAACAUGACAUGGAUGGAUCUUAAAGUGAUAUGACACCGAGUUGUAAACUCAAGAUCCUAAAACAUGGAUAAUUGAACCACUUUUGCAAAAAUACCCUAUUUUGUAAGAUGACCGAUGUUGCCAAAAGUGGCUAGACACACAAAUUUAACAGGAAUAGACCUUAGAAUCGAGAGGAAACUUUAUUGUAGACUCAGGGCUCUAAGACAGGAGAUAACAAACUACUUUGAGAAAAUACUCCUAUUUUUGCAAAAACGACCGAUGUGGCCAAAUAUGACUAUACAUGCAAGAUUUGGCUACGACCAAGAACCUAGGACCUACUUGGAAGACCGGACCCUAUGUGGGUUGCCUACGUAUCUUGCCCCGGAAGACGAGAAUCAGGUUCACGUAGUUCGGGAAGAUUGGAUAUGUGAGAAAGCUUAAAAUGACACUAAUUUGGAAAAUAUAUUUUUUUGUCUUUUGAAAAAUGAUGAAAAAUGUAAAAUCUUUUUGGAUUUUCUUUUUCUCAUUUUUUGGAUUUUUGGAAAAUAAUGGAAAAAUGUAAAAUCUUUUUGGAUUUUCUUUUUCAUUUUUUUCUUUUGGUUUUUUUCUCGAAAAAGUUGUGAAAGAAAAUAUAAUCGGGCCCUACUUGCUUCAUUUUUCACCCUUCUAUCCAAAACGUCGGUCCGCCAAAUGACCUUUCUACCCUCACAGAUGCAAUAUUUAGCACAUAGGAUGAUUAAAUGUCAUUUUGGGCCACGGGCCCAUUUUUGACAUAAUUUGGAUAGGCCUCCUACAAUGGGACACGAUACCUGGGAUGAGCCCUGCUAGGUUUAAAUGACAUGAUGCAAAUAAGAAUGACCUAAAGGCUGACCUAAGUUUGGAGUUCACUAACAAGGUAAUUCGGGGGAGCGUAUGGUCGAAGAGUUCGUGUACGUGAUGCGUACUCCGAGACUUAUUGCAGAAAGAAUUGACCAGGUAAUGCAUAUGAUGACAGUUAUAAAGCAGUAAUACAUAAAGGAAAAACUAUAAACACAUAAAACAACUAGCAAAUAAAGCGAUAUAAGCAAAAAUAAAUCAAAUAAAGAAAACAUAAAAAAAACCUCAAUCGAAUAUUCUAAAAAGCCAACAAAAUCAAGUACUAGCUCGAACCUGCAACUCCCCAGUAGAGUCGCCAGAGAUGUCACACCCCCUUUUUUUAAACGUCACUUAACCCUCUUAAAAAUAAUAAAAGUGAUUUAGUAAAGCUCAAACAAGGGUUUUUAAUUAAAAAGUGACAAAAUUGUGUUCAAAAGGAAAUAGCUCAGAUUCGCCACCUGACUUUGAUUUCGGUGUACCAGGUCACCGUUUUUAAAAAAAAUUCCUUUUUAAACAUUUUAGACUCUAAAACCAAGUCCGCACCAGUGAUUCGGGAAAGGGGGUUCGUUUGACCUGGGAAGAAGGUGUUAGGCACUCCCCAAGUCCCGUAAUUAGUACGGUUUCUUACUUGAUCUAAUUUACUUUUAAAAUAUUCAAUUGAGGUAAAAACACAAAAAAAAAAAUAAACACACAAGAGGCUAGAGGUCGUCCCCGCCUAAAAAGAUAAAAAUAAAUAAAAGAAAAUAUUAAAAUUCUAUUCUACGCUUCCUCACGUCAUCCAAUCUCUAAUCUUCAUUUACAUGUACUAUGGGGCAUACCCCGGAUAAAAUAUAUACAAAUCUUUCGGGGCAUUCCCCGGUUAAAUUUAACUAAGGGAACGACCUCUUGCCUCAAAAUUAACGGAAGUCUUAAAGCUUGUCUACCCAAAGGUGGUCGGCCUAAGCAUGCUCCUAGCGAACAAUAUCAUCAAUAAAGAAAAUAAAAGGAACUAAAUAAAGAAACUAAGUGGAAGAACAAUUCAAUUCAUGCUCAUGUUUUGUUUUUAAAAUUUUCUUUUUUAUUAGGCCGAGCCUGAUACCUAAAGCAUGGAACAAAUUAAUUGCUAAUGGGCUUUGGCCUUUCUACCACUCCCCACGACCCAAAUUCAAGCACGAACAGUACAAACAAAUACUCAAAAACACAUGAGGGGCAAAAUGAUAUAAAAUAGGAGGGAUAAACUACAGCUGGUCAGAAUAUGAAAAGAGCCCUUGAAGGUCUAAACAACACAAACAAAUACUCAAAAAUGCAAGUUCAAAUAAAGACUAGCUAUCAAUUUUGCAUUCUAACAAGGAAACGCAUGACACUCAACAGAAGUUCAAGCCCACUGGCAACCGAACCAAUAUAGACAUAUAAACUCUAUUAUUAUUAGUAACAACUUCUUUAAGAUCAGAAGAACAGCUUAUGAGAAACAACUCACGCCGAACUUAAUGAAUAGAGGAAUUCGGAUAACGAACUAAUUUUAGAAUGGGCAUACUUCACUAACCUACAGCUUGGGACUCCAACCAAAUGAGAAGAUUAUAUAGCAAGAGCCACCUUAAACAGAAUUUUAAACUACCAUGAGGACAACAAAUUAGUUAUUAACUAAAGCUUUUUAUGCGACUAUUUGAUCUUGCAAAAUCCUACACGGGCCUCAAUAGAAAGCAUUUGAGCGGCCAACUCUCGAACAUUAAGCAUGGCGGAAAGGAACUAACAUCUCAUAAUCUCAUGCUAAUUACCCAUUCACAAAUAAAUCCAAGGCAUGGGCUAACAGUCAAGCAACAUCGUAUAUAAUACGUAUACCAACAGAUUGUGUCGACAACAAAUGAACAACCAUCAGAGAGGCUUCAAAAAUUAUUUUUUGUAUUCAAACUCAACCAAACAAAUAAGAACUUCUUAUAACUAGAACCUAAUAAGCAAAUUAAAACUUUUAUAAGUAGAAAUGGCCUACGAAUGAAAGCAUCUGAUGUUUGAUCUCUAAUGAAAUCUAGCAGACUCAAUCAUUACUAUUGCAAACCAAGAGGACACUGAGUUUACUUGAGAUCUGGUAGCUAAGUUUCAUUAAAAUACCUUGAUGGAUGCUAUGGUGAUUUGCCAAGAAUAUAACACCUUAGGAGGAGCAACGUUUGUCACGCAACAGACAACAACAUAUAUAUAAGCAACACGACACUACAAGAAGCUCAUAUGCGGUGAGUGAUGUUAAAACACUAAAAAAAUGCUUGAUCAAAUCAUGAAGAAAUCAACAGUUUUUAGAACCAAAAUCAAUAGUGAGAACAAAGAAUUCCAAUGAAAUAGCGAAAACGAACUAUAUUCCUAUUUCUAGCAUCCAAACCAACAUACGAGCAGGACAACGGAACACAACAAUCUACUAAACAGAACAGAGCAGCAUACGAGCAGUACGAGCAGAACAGAAUCGCACGCUAAGAGAAUUCAUCCAACAUGUCCAAACAGAACAGACUGAAAAACACAGACAUUAAAGCAUGAAAAUGAAACAGAACACAAGUAACAGAGUAAGAUCCAAUCUAACUAAAAUCACACAUGACAGGGGAGACAAAAAUGAACCUGUUGAAGCUUAAGCUUUCGGUAGAACAGAAGAUUCAGGGUAUACAAAGCUUUUACUCCAAAUUCCAGCAAACUAACAGCAAUAUCGCGACUAGUAGCAGGAUAAAACAACAACAAAAAUGGAUUUGGAACCACGAACAAGAACCUCACGAGCAGUCAACGGACAUCAGCUAAACUCCAUUCUUGUUAAACAAAUCAGAAGCUAUUAUAUAUUUUUUUAUUUUCUGUUUCGAAUAUGAAAGAAAGACUCAAAGAGAACUCUAAAAUGUUAUGCUCAAUCGACUGAAAAUUGGAAGGAAGAAAGUAAAAAAUUCAGAAAAACCCUAGCCCUCUCGUUUUCCGAACUCUCUCUUCUCUGAUUUUCUCCUCCCUCUUUUCUGUCCGAAAAUCCCAAAUAUAUAGGGAUCCUAGAAGCUUUUUUUUCUUCUCCUCCAAGAAAUUCCAAAAAAAAAAUCCUUUAAAAUUUCUAAAUCCGUUUGUUGAAGCAAGUAAGGGACAAAUGGAGGGAGUAGAUUGAGCUAAAACUUAAUCCUACGCUCACCAUUCAUCCUCCCUCGCCUUAAACGGAUCGUGUGAGCAAAGAACGCGUGAAAGAGAUGGAAUCUUCUUGUCAGAGGUCGUUAUGGUCUUGAUGACAUGGAAGAAGGAAAGGAGAGGGGGGGGGGGACCAUGAGUUAACUCGUGAGCGAGGUUUUGGUGGUCUUACCAUGGCUGAAGCGCGACUGGGAUGGGGUGAAG
rnacentral:lncRNA from 1 species